rnacentral:lncRNA from 1 species
UUUUUUUUUUGUGACUACUGUCACAUCUUGUUUCUGAAUUAUUCUAUUUUAUAUAUGUGUGCGGUCUAGCCUGUUGACAGAAGCAUUUUCUAUCAUGGUUCCAUCUCCCACAUGUAUAGACGUGCAUCCUUGUUCCUGGAGACCAGCUCAUACAUUGUUCUUCAGUUAUGUCUCCUACAUAUAUAGAUCUACAUGCUUGUCCAUGUCUUUGUUCUUGCUUGUGAAAUUGUACAUUGCAACGAAAAAUUGUCCAAAGCAUCCUUGCCUAAACAACUUUGUUUUUUGGCCAGCAAUUUUCUUAUUCAUUUUCCUAUCUCACCAAUGCUAUUAUUCUUGCAUUUUAGUCUAUUUGCUUUUUUACUUUACCCAUACUUUCCCAUUGCAUUGCCAGUUUUUUUUUUGACAGAAAGGCUGUAGGGGAACCCCCUACAGUAUAAUUGGUGCAACAAACCCAACUUGCAAGUAUCAUGCUUUGAACCUGGGUGGGUGGGAAGGCAUCAGCCCCUUCGCACCACUAGGCUAUGCCUUAGUCUGCCAUUGCAUUGCCAGUUGUCGACGACGUGUUCAGGGACUCACAUGGCUCAAACACUGGUAUGCUCAGUCAAAAUAUAUUUAUAUUAUAUAAUUAAUUAUCAAAAGCACACUAACUGAUUUCUUCUUUCAUAUUUUAUAAUCUGUUAAUUGUAGAUAUUGCUGGUGUAGUCAUGUACAUGGGCCCAGUUGACCAUGAUACAUAUUCCCCUCUACGCAUGAGGGAAGUAGCAUUAAUCGACGCUGGCAUGCAAAUUAUCUUCCUACACAUUUUUGAAGAACUAGCUGAACGCCAUUGGAAUGAACUUCUUUCUGCUGAAGCAAAUGUUGGCUUAAUCAUGGCAACCUCGAUGAAGGUUGAUCAACUAUCCAGUAAGCUUUUUCCUUAAAAAGUGUCGUACCAUUUUAGUGUCAUGUUAUUACUAACUUGAGAAUUGAUAACAGAAACUCUUCUUAGCACGGGGGCAACAACUUUAUGCAUACAUUACUCCUCAAGUUGCCACAAUGUUCACUUUCUUAAAGGCCAGUAUCUGUUAUAUUUCUUAAUUUUACAAUAUUCUCCCACAACUAGACUAACUGUUUGCUUAUCAUUUUCUGUAGGUGUGCAUCAUCAAGUUCAUGAUGACUUGUAUUUCCGUGAUGCUAUCAAGAGUGAAGUUCUUCUUAGGAAGGAUGCCCGCAAACGAGACGACGCGGAUAACUCACUUGUCCCCAAGAUAACCGCGACUGAAGUAGACUUUCGCUCUGGUCAAUCUCCCCCCGUGAAGCAAAAUUUCAAGUAUAUAAGGGGUGGUCAGCGUCCACCAAUCAACGUCAACAAGAUGGAUCAAUUGGACUAGGAAUAAAUGUCUCAAAUUAAUAAGAAGUGUGAAACUAAAGAAUUUCAAGCCCUUGGAUUCCUAGCCUUUCCUUUCGGUUGUUGAAUUUUGCUUAAUGACUUGUUUGAUGAUGGAAUAUUGUGUAAACCUUUAUUUUGAUUACUGAUUUCCUUUUUUAUUUUGCACAUGGCUACACGUGCGUUGCACGUGCACAUUUACUAGUAAGCGAAAAAAGCACAUAAUUUUGUGUCGGCUCAAUUUCUCGAAAGUGUUCAUAGAAGUAUGGUGUGCGUGUGUACGUUUAUAGAAGUGAGCGUAUAUGCAUAUGUAUGAAUGUGUGCAUCUGCACUGUGUUCAAAUAGAGUUUAUGAGGGUGUGUGAGUGGGGUUAGAGGUGGGAUUCUGAACCUAGUGUGAGGUUGAAGGAGAAUGAGGAUGAAGAGAAAAAUAAUGUUCAACGCUAAAUUGAAGGUGACAAUGUCUACGGAUCUGAUGUAUUUUCUACUUCUGGUGUUCUUUGUAAUACCUUGAUAGUUGAUGAAUAGAUUGAAAGUUUUUCUCAAAAAAAUCUAAUUCAAGAAAAAAAUGCGUAUGAAAUUUUUUCAAGUUGUGGUGCGAGAUAUACGCUACGUACAUGGAUCCUGGUGCCACGUGGAGUAUCACACCAAACUUGUAAAUCAAUCAUGAAAAGAAAACAAAACCUCCUUCCAUGAAAAAGGGAAAAUAAACUCACCGAUUCUCACCUCCGCACAGUCCUAAUCACGCACGAACACGUAAUUGCAACCCUCGGAGCCGUACGCGCCUCGGCACGAUCGUCCUACCUUAUUACUACCGGUGCUCGUGCGGACGACGCAAGACACAAUCAAACACAAUCCUCGAAGGAGAAUACGCGAUAGAUGGCCGGCGCCGAAACGCUCCCGGGGGACAUCCUCGGCGCGAUCUACCGCCUGUGCUCCUCGCCGUACGACCGUGUGCGCGUCUUGGCGUGCCGUGGCGUCAUGGCACCCGAAGCUGCCUGCUCUCCCGCUGCUGCUCCCCUCGACAGGCAACCUACAAAGUAAUAGGGACGCGACCGCAAAGCGCGCGCCUACAGCCUGGAGGACGGCAGGGUCCUGCGCGCGCCGCUGCCGUGGUUCCCGUGGGGCAAGCGGAUAGUCGGGUGCCACGAGGGCGGCUGGGUCGCUGCUGCCUCUUCAUCCGCGCCUGCGUGCUGCGGAGGGACUUUGUAUGUAGAUGCACAAUUGCUCGAAGACGAACCAACGAGGAAAUCUCCAUACGAAAAAUCGUCUUCUCAAAGGACCCUGCCUCGAAAGGUUGUAUCAUGGCCGCGAUGACCACCGGAUGCGGGAUAGUGCUCUGCGGGCUUGGUACUAAAGAUGGCGACGGAAGGGCCACGCAGGAAUGCAGCGCGAUGGACCCAUAUCCAACCUUCCUAGACAUUGCCUUCUGCAAUGGCGAACUCUACGGCAUCGCGACUCGCGAACUGUUAUAUAGGUUCGUCAUCAGCCAAAACGAAUGGGGCGCUCUAGUGGUCAGCUUGGUCGAACAAUUAACCACCGAAAGGCCUAUGGAUGUUGCAAGGCCGUGCAUGUGGCGGAAGCUUGGAGCACUAUUGUGGAAGCGAACCAUAUCUACUACUCAUCUCCAUAUGACGAUGACGAUGUGGAUCGCCUAACAAGGUUGGACCUCGGUAGUUGCUUUGUCUGUUGUUGGAAAAGCGAUGGCGUGCACCACUCGGAGAGGAUCAUGUCACACAGAUAUCAUUACCGUGAGAAGGGUUCGGAGUAUGGUGGUAAAGAUUAUAAUAGUUGUACCUGGGUUCUUCCUCCACCCUUUUAGCUAAUGUGCCCAUGCAUGCAUGCAUCAGGCUUGUACCAGAUUAAUAUGUUAUGGGGAGCAAUGUUCAUAUUUAACUGGUUUCUAUCUGAGGAACUGCUAUAUACCAUGCUUGCAUGUAUAUGCACGUGACUUGGUACGGUGGCUUGGUAUGUUGCAUAGCCUCGAGUGAUCAUAGGUUCAUUUGUUUAUAUGUAAAAUGUUUGUAAGGACAAGUAUAGUAAAUAUUUUCUAUAACUAAUUAUCCGAUACUUGUAGAUUUCCUGUGAAAUUAAGAGGAACGUCUUUUUAAAGAGUUAUUAAGAGAAAUAUUUGACUGAAUUAAUUAAUAACCGCGUAUGUCAUAUGAUCGUAUGUUUCCUCUCAUGCUAGAACUACAUAUUUACGUACAUACAGAACCACAAAAUUAAGAGGACAUAUAGAACCAUAUGAUCGUAUGUCAUAUCGUGACUUGUUACGGUGGCUUUGUAUGUUACAUAACCUCGAGUGAUCAUAGGUUCAUUUGUUUCUGUGCAAUUAUUUGUAAGGACAAGUAUAGUAAAUCUUUUCUAUAACUAAUUAUCUACGUCUUGUUGAUUUCCUGCCAAAUUAAGAUGAAUGCCUCUUUUAUGAGGAGCUAAAAGAAAUAUGUGACUGAAUUAAUCAAUAACCGCCUAUGUCAUAUGAUCGGAUCUUUCCUCUCAUGCUAGAAGCACACAUGUACGGACAUACACAACCACAGAAUUACUACAUAUAUACGUAGUCAUGGAGGCGAUUGUGUGUGUAUGGUACUCAGAAGUCGGGUUAACAACGGGAUGAUGAACAUGAGUUGUUAGGGCGGCAAAGGAGAUGGACACAAGAAUAAAGAGCUCCAUGUGUGUGUACAAAAAGGAAAUAAUCUACUCCAUGUUUAUAAUUUGUGAAUGGCAAACAAUUUGAGAAAAUAAUAAAGAUGUGUUUUGAUUGUUUCCUUUUUGGUGCCGGUAAAAGUAGUGCAGCCUGUGAAAAAUAAAUUGUGUGCUUCAAAUAUUCUAUCAUUAGAACACUGGGUUUCAUUUUCAAGCCCAGAUCAUAACAUUAGUCAUUUCUCGUGGAGACCUUUUGUUCAGAUGUAAUAGAAGGCAUGCACAUAUGUUGUGAAAAGAAAAUUCCGUUUUUAAUGUCUAUUUUAUGAUUUUUUUUUCUAUUCAUUCCGUACCAUGUUUUCUUUUUACGGAGACAGGGACGUUAAGCCGAACUGCCCCCGCGUCGUCCGCCUGGGCGACACGGACGGCGAGCAGAUCCUCUUUUUCAGGCAGCCCUCUUCUCGAGCUUCCUUCCGUCACCGGCGGCCGACGGCGCCGGCGGGGCUCCAUUCCUGUUGCUGUUCGGCGGCCUUUGGUGAUGUGCAGGUGACGACUUACCCAAUUAGAACGGCAUCGGCAUCGUUCGUGGCUGGGCAGAUGCAGCGGGAUCGGCAUGCAGCAGGCACCUCGGCCAGGCCAUGGAGCAAAGUGAAGGGAGCCGGGACGCCACCAUGUCUCUCGAUCUGGAGAGCCCGCUCUCUGAGCCAGGCUAGCGCUGCUCCCAAGGCGCCUCUUCGGUGUGAGGGAAGGCAAGAUGUGGCGGUGACUAACUGACUAUGCAUCAGAUGCGGCGGCCGCCGCCCACGCUGCCGGCAGGAAUGUAGCGGCCGCAGUUGUCACGGCCAUCGCGUUCGAGAUCUAGCCUACGCGCUGCUGGGCACUAUCAGCCGUGCUUGGCUGCCUACAUGAACACGACAUGCGCUGGAUUACGGUCGUCGGUGAGGUUUAGGCCUUCAGAUCCAGCGAGGUUGACCACGACGUUGUCCUCCACCUGGUGUAAUCUGCUGCUAUGUGCUACGACGAUGAUGGUAGUGGCAGCAUGUGGUGAUGUUUUCUCAUGCAGAUCGGUCAUCUAGUGCCAUUUGUGAGGACGGCACGGGUACACAAGAUCGUCCCAAACUCGGGUUUUGGACGUGCAUGUGACCUUCCUCCCUCGCCAAGCUGUCGGAAUCAUGGAAAAUGGAGAAGAUAACAUAGGAUGACUUCGAUAGGAUUGGUGUUGCUCAAGUACACGGUCUCAUGUUCUAAAAACAUGUCAAUCAUGCAUUUGAAAAAUGUUAAAUGUGCAUAGAAAAAAUGUUUCGGAUGUAUUAAAAAAGUGCAAAUGUGUAUAGAAAAAAGUAGACAUCAAAAAAUAUAAGUUUCCAAUAAAUGUUAAUGAUGUAUUUUGCAAAUCUUAAACGUGUACAUAAAUCAUAUUUCUAAUCUAUAAAAAAAUAUACAAUGUAUCUGGAAAAGUAGACAUCGAAAAAUAUAUGCUUUAGAAAAUGUUAAUCAUGUAUUUAGAAAAUGUUAAAAGUGUAUAUAUAAAAUGUUAAACAUGUAUCAAAAAAUGUAUCAAAUGUAUAAGAAACAUGUACGAUGUGUAAGAAAAAAAAUAGAACUUCAACAUAUAUUAUUAAAAAUGUUAAUCAUAUAUAUGAAAAAUGUUGAACCUAUAUUAAGAAAUGUUCUAGAUGCAUACAAAAAUGUGCAAUGUGUAUGAAAACAAUAGACAUCGAAACAUUUAUUUGGAAAAAAUGCAUAAAAUGUUAAAUGUGUAUUGAAAAUAUGUUCUUGCACAUAUGAGAAAAUAAAUAAUGUGUAACAAAAUUCUAGAUAUAAAAGAAAAGGAGAUAAAAAACAAAGGAUGAAAAAAAACUAAAGAGAAAAAAGAAACAAGAAAACAGGAGAAAAACUGUGCAGUGGUAACACAAAGCGGUUAUGCGCAUCGUGGAAGGGACAGAAUCGGUUGAAUGUAUCAAUGAGACUAUUUCGGUUAAUCUGACGCUUCUCGCUCAAUUUUACUAAUUAGCCUGUCUAAUGUGCUUUAUAAGAUUGCUUACAAGGUCAUAGCUAACCGUCUGAAGCUAGUUUUGCCUAAAAUCAUCUCGGAGGAGCAAUCGACCUUUGUUGCGGGCAGAUUAAUGACAGAUAAUAUAAUCGCUGCAUAUGAGUGUCUCUAUUUUAUGAAGCGAAACAAGACGAAGAAAAAUCAACAUUGUGCAUUAAAUUUAGACAUGAUGAAGGUUUACCAUAGGUUGAAUGGGAUUACCUUCAAGCCAUCAUGUUAAAACUCGGUUUCACUGAAAAGUGGGUUGGUAUUGUCAUGGGCCCGGUAAACUCAAUCAAAUUCAUGAUUCCUUUAAGUGGGAAGAAGCUCUAGGAAUUCAAACCAUCACAAAGAAUCCGGCAAGGGGACUCUAUUUCCCCAUACCUUUUCUAUUUCCCCAUACCUUUUCUUGCUAGCAACGGAGGGCAUUUUGUGCCUUUUAAUCAAACAAUUCAUCUAAUAUGUAUGAUUUACAAGUGGCUACUUUAGUGCCACCAGUAAAUCAUCUAUUAUUUGUAGACGACAGCCAAAUGUUUUUCAAGGAAAAUGGUGUGGGCGCUAGCGAGGUGAACCAUGCUUUGAGAAUUUAUUGCAGAGCUUCAGGUCAACGGAAAUACCCAGAUUAGACUAAAAGUAGAAGUAAAACAAGUGCUCUUUUUAGAUGUUCCCAUCAAGACUCAAGGUCCAGACAGAUUUCCAGCUCAUAUUUUCAACGACACUGGGAGGCUUGCAUUGCGGUGGUAACAAGAGUGGUUAUGCGCAUAGUGGAAGGGACAGAAUCAGUUGAAUGUAUUAAUGAGACUAUUUUGGUUCUGGUCGUUGAGGUAAAGAAAAUCCGACGUUUCUCAAUCAGUUUUGCCUAUUAGUUCGUAUGAUCCGCUUCUAUAAGAUUGCUUCCAAGAUCAUAGCUAACCGUUUGAAGCUACUUUUGCCUAAUAUCAUCUCGGAAGAGCAAUCAACCUUUUAUAUCAGGCAGAUUAAUGGUAGAUAAUGUAAUAGUUGCAUAUGAGUGUCUCCAUUUUAUGAAGCAAAACGAGGCGGAGAAAAACCAGCAUUGUGCAUCAAAAUUAGACAUGAUGAAGCUUUUUGAUAGGUCGAAUGGAUUACCUUCAAGCCAUCAUGUUAAAACUUGGUUUCACUAAGAAGUGGGUUGGUAUUCUCAUGGGCCUGGUAAAUUCAAUCAAAUCCCCAGUCCUGUUUAGUGGGAAGCUCUAGGAAUUCAAAACAUCACGAAGAAUUCGACGGGGGGCUCUAUUUCCUCAUAACUUUUCUUGCUAGCAGCGGAGGGUAUUUUGUGCCUUUUAAAAUCAAACAAUUUAUCUAAUAUGUGUGGUCUACAAAUGGUUGCUUUAGUGCCACGAGUAAAUCAUUCAUUAUUUGCAGACGACAGCCUGAUCUUCAAGGCAAACAGUGUGGGUGCUAACAAGGUGAACCAUGCUUUAGGAAUUUAUUGUAGAGCUUCAGGUCAGCGGAAAUACCCAGAUUAAACUAAAAGUAGCAGUAAUAUUUCUUCACCAGAAUUUUACUGUUGACACGUCAAAAAGGCACAGGAAACACCACUGCCACGCCCAAACUCGCCAUAGAAGACCCUUGAGGAGGCCGAUGGCGCGAGCAUUGACGAACUCGGUGGCUGAAGCCCCGAGCAUACAGGACAUGUGCCAUGAGGUUGCUUCCAAUGUAUUGGUGCUUACAUGAGGUGCUAAGCAUAUUAAAUACUUUAGCAACUAAAGACCCCAAUGCAUAGGUGCUUAACUUGUUGGUGCUAAGUAUCCUUUAUUUAAUGAUUUUACAACUAAAGUUCUUCAUGCAUUGGUGGGAUUCUUCCAUUUAAGUGUUUUGCCUAGGUUCUCGCGCUUGGCAUUGUUUCUUCCCGGGGUCACCACACUCAUCUCUCUUCUCUUAAUUACCUUGCCACAUCAGAUUUUUUGCCUACAUGACAGGCUUAGCACCUGUACAAGGUGGAGCAUUGGGAGAGGCCUGAGGGCAGGCUGCCCUUGCGGCACACUCCACCGAUCGAACAUUUAAUGCCCAAGCAGGCUACGAGGCGUAGCCCAGCUCAAGCCUACGAAGGAGGCCAUCAUCACCACGACCAGCGGGGACGAGCGACGUGACCAAACUCCAGCGCGACCCAAGACCAACGAUGGAUAGUGUGGCGUGUCACAUAAAGCAUGAGUACUUGAGCACCUGACAUCUCGCAUCCGCCAUGUCUUCCUGUGUUCUUUUCCAUGGCAUUGUCGCCAUUGAUUCCGUAGGAAGCGAGUGGGGAUGUGAAACACCGGCGAGGGGCGAGCGUCGGCGGUGACUGUUGACGAUGAGGGUGGCGGACGCGCGCCGCGCGAUGCGGAGGAGGAGGCAGCCGCCAUGUAUCCAUAAUGUUUUUUCUUCUCAAAUUUUUACGGGUGGGACGAGAAGGAGGAUGAGGAGGGAGCUCGUCCGACGGCUAUGCGGGGACUAAUCAAACUGCUAGCGUGCGACUAGCCAAAAUUUGGGCCGGCCGGCCCGCGUCACUCUUAGUUCUUUUUUUAGCACUUCUUUGUCGUUUUAACAAAAUCUUGCAGCAACACGUGGGCCAUCGUUAGUUGUGGCAAAGGGUUUGCCAAUUCUUCAUGCUUAGCCCACGAUCGGAUUCGGCGAGGCUAUCACGGGCGACGUCUAAAUUCUGUAGAUCAUCCUAGUGUACACUUGUUCUCCAUCAAUUUUUUUUUUGAAGUUCUACAUCAUUUCUGAUCAUAACCGAUGCCAGCUCCGGCUCCCGAUGCUGGCGUGACCGAGACGACUGCUGCUGGACAGACUCGGCCCGUUUCCAGGGCGACGCAUCAUAUCAUAUCACAGGCCGCGAUUUGCCUCCACGUGGGUGGAGCCCGCCACAGCCCGCUUCGUAGUCGCUGUGUUUUUUAUAGUAAAAAAAAACAUGGUUCGCUGUUGCUCCAGCGGAACGCGAUCGGCCGCUGGAUUCCGGCGGUGAUACGCCGGCGGCCUGGAAAUCAGGCGCCUGAUUUGAUUUCAAUUAUGCUUUCCGCAUCAUCUCACGCUGGCGGAGCGGAGCGGGAGGUUCAUGCCAACUCCACCACGCGAACCUAAAUGGACGUCCGGUUUGGCCGAUUUUUAUCUCUUUAGGUGCUGAUGGAUUCAUCCGUGUCCGUGUUUCUUUGAUGGGUCGUGGGUGCGUUCAACGCGCGGCUGCACCUCAAAACCUGUUCAGAGUGGACGUGAAAAAAAAAUUAAAAACUUAAAUGAAAUGACUAAAAAAAUAAAUAAACGCAGUUAAAAAAACAUAAAACAUAUAUAGGGGUCACGGUCACAAAACGGCCCAGUUUUUCAGUCCACUUAAACGGCCCAGUUUCAUAAUUAACAUAAAACCAAAAUAAAAAAAACGCCCCCCGCGCGCUCCUGCCACGCCCAUCGAUGCCGUGGCCAUCGCCGUCGCCGUCUUCACUGGCCGCCGGUGUCAUCGUCGUCGCUAAAAAGGUCGACGUAGUCCAGCGGCGUCCACAGGUGGGUCGGCGGUCCGUGGUGCACGGGUGCGGCGGGCUGGAAGAUGGCCAGUGCUUACACCACCUCCUCCCGAGGCGAGGCCUCCCGCUCCGGCGAUCGCGGCGGCGUGGGGCACCAGUUCACGGCCCCCAGGGCGGCCGCCAUCUGCUUAGCGAAGCACCACCGGCGGCUGCUCCACCACCUCCUCCUCCGGCGCCAUCUCCAGCUUAGGGAUGGCGACGUCGCCGGCCGCGGAGAGGGCCAUCGUCUCCUCGAGGUCCGCCCAUUGGCGCUCGUCGUGCGUGUGCUUGGAGUCCUCCAGCACACGCGCCAUGAGCCGGGCCUCCUCCUCCGCUGUCAUGCGAGGAGGCGGGGAUGGCGAUGAAGAUGGCGACGGCGAUGGCGUGGGCGUCAGGCCGCGCACCCGCAUACGCCCGCGUGCCUGGGGAGCUGCUCGGGGCUCACGUGGCCGCCGCGGUCCCAUCGACGAGCCGGCGAAGAACGACGCCCGCCGCACGUCGUGUUCAUCGCGGAGCCAAGUGUCCCACAAUGGCGAGUCGGGGGCGUACCUCUCAUAGUAGUAGAGGUCGUCCGGGAGGAGGCGGCGGCGACGCUGGAUCUCCUGGCGGCGCGCAUGGCCGCUCGGCGGGACGGGCGAGAUCGGCACGCGGUCGGCCGAUAGGUGCCAGUUAUUGGGGAGGUGGACGUCGCUCCAGGGCAUCAACGUCCUCAUCUCCCAAUACAGGCGGCAGACGGCCGCCUUGCUGUAGUACCGGUCGCGCUCGCCGGCGGCCGUGGGCGCGAUGGAGAAUGCGGGCGACGCGGGGGGAGGGGCGACGUGGUGGCGAUGGCGUCGCGGGCUCCUCCUUCUUCACCGAGUCGCGGCAGCGUCCCGACGAGGAACCAGCCUCGCGGUCGUGCUUGCCUUUGCGGCCGUAGUUCCAGAGGCCCAUGGCUACGGGCGGCCGGCCGACGAGUUCUUGGGUAGGGUUUGGGUUUGGCACUGUCGGGUUUCAAGGAGGCCGCGGGGUGGCGUGGGGCAGUGUGGACGACGACCGUCCACGCUUUCCACUUAAAGAAGGACGACGACCUUUCGAUGUGCGGAUGACAGGUGGGGCCGCCCGCUCGUGCGUAUUGAUGUGGGCGGGUGGGAGGUAGGUGGCCGCCUGCCACGCGGCCCCGACACGGACGAGGCGCGCGUUCGUUUGGUGUCCGUCGCGGCCUAAACUUGGCGCAAGUUUGCAUUCGAAAUGGGUCGACCUGGACAUAAAACGGACGAAAUAGAUUCGAAUCGUCGCGCGUUGGACCGUUACGUUUGUUCGUUUUAUCUCAAAUAAAUAAGGCCGGACAAAAUAGGGUCAGCGCGCGGUGAAGUUGGCCUCACAUCCACACGACACGGGACGGACGGGCCGACGGGCGGGCCACACCGCCAGGCGAAAGGCAUCGUGCGCGUCUCGAGCGAUCCAGUCUGCAGGCCGCGCUGCCGGGGCCGCCUUCCCCUCCCUCCCUGUUUCCUUCUCAGAGUAUGCGGAUGCGGAUGCGACGCCCCAAACACCGAACAGCGGUUUCGCUCCACCAGUGCCUUCGCAGCGGUGCGCCGGCUGGCGGAUUCGAAUUUUGGAGAUUUGUACUCCACUCCUUCGGCACCUGUCUAUCUGUUUUCGAAUUUUGAGCCUACUUACGAAAAGAUUUAGAAACCCUGAUUCUUUGAUGUAAAUUGUCUGAUCCGUGGGGUGAAAAAUAAUACGGGUAGUCGAAAAUUUAACACCGGCGUAAUUUCAUCGGGAAUUACGUUGCACGCGGCUCUAAAGUUUUUAAUCAAGUCGUCUGUGGUCAUUUCGUCAAUGUCAAGAUAUUAUUGUGUCGGCUCAGUAUCUCGAAGGUGCUCGUAUGGGUACGGUGUGCGUGCAUGUUUUCUUUAUCUGCAAUAACUAUUUCAUGUGUAUAUACUGCUCCCUCCGAUCAAUUUUUAUAACACGUUUACGCAAUUCAGACAACACCCAAAAUAGUUGAAUGUCAACUGUCUAAAAUGUCUUAUAGAAAAGAACAAACCGAGUACCAUAACCUCUUAUUAUACUAGCGCAGAUCUAUACAACUUAUAUUAUGUAUUUUUUUAAUUAAAUUUUGGUAAGAAUUAGUAUGUCAUUAUAUCUUUCACUGUAUUCCUAUAGAUAGUGCCAAUCAAAUUGGUCCAAGACUUUUGUACAUUUAUUAAUAAGAUAUGUUGUAAACUCUCGGUUUCUAAUUCUUUUGUUAAUCACGUUGCCUACGUAAUUUUAUUGUGUAUAUUUGUGUAAGCCACGCUCUUAUCUCCUCACCAAAAUCUAGAGAAGAGAUUAUUUUAUGUGCAUCAUGUCAUCGCCCCUAGCCCACCUCAUCUUCCACUGGCCUCAUUGGUGUGAGCAGUGGCGGAGCUUCUCAGGGGCCAACCUGGGCCGUUGCCCCCCCAGCCCAUGAAUUUUUUCUGAAAUACCCCUUAGUAUUUGGCCCAUAUCUCAAGCAAAAUCAGCCCAAAAUACAUAUUGUUUGCCCCCCAGCCCAUUGCCCCCCCUAGAUUUCAGCCCAAGCUCCGCCACUGGGUGUGAGAGUGCGGAGAGUUCUCGAUCUAUCGUAUGGAGCAGUCAUUUUCCCUCUUUGGUACGUUUACUAACAUGGUGACACUUCUUUGGUGGCAACACUAGCGCCAAUCUAAUGAAUAAAGUUCCAUUUUUUUUGCGGGGAAUGAAUAAAGUUCCAUAUGGUUGGUGUUUGUUGCAAUGGUGUAAAUGGCUCGUAGAUUCUUAGGCGCUUCUCAAUGCUUCACCUUGUACAAGUGCUACGUUUGCCAUGUGGUGAAAAAGAUGACGUGGCAAUGUAAUUAAGAGAAGAGAGAUGACUUUGAUGCCCCAGAAAGAAACAAUGCCAAGCAGGUGGCCUAGGUAAAACACUUAAAUGAAAGAGAUCCAUCAAUGCAUGGAGAAGUUUAGCCGCUAAAUCAUUAAAUGAAUAGAACUUAGCUACAACAAGUUUAAGCACAUAUGGGGAUUUUUGUUGCUAAAUUCUUUAAUAUGCUUAGCACCUCAUCUAAGCACCGAGCAAUGCUACAUCUAAAUAAGGUUCUUACGUGAAUUAACGUAAGAGUUGGGAUGACAAUUUCAGUUUGGAGGAAAUUAGGAAGGGGGCCCACCCAAUUGAGGAUGGGGGGCCUCUGCGUACAUGUAGCAUUUUUCUAAGCACAUGUGCGUUGAAAGAGGCCUUCCUGUCUUCUCUAGCUGGUGAGGUUCGGGUAUCGAGCUGGCUUCCCUUUAUAGUUUGGUCCUUUGACCUCCUCUCGUGACGUUGGUGUGGCCUCCAAUGUCAACGUGAGGUCCGUAAGCUUUGUUCAAGGUUGUGAUCUUCAUAUAUGUGUAUCUUCUCAUGGCAACGGUUUUGAUGGUUUCUUUUAAAUAUGUUGGUUUGGUUUUUUUUUUGAAAAUAGGGUUUAAAACCCACGGUCUCUACAUCAAUUGAUGUAUACAUCAAUUUUUAUUAAUUAUUCAACAAAGAUCUGAUAAAAAUAUACAUCAAGCCACCCGAAGUUACCACUCACACUUAUAAACUACAUAAUAUGGAAUGCUCUCACUUUUCAUAUCUCAAACCGAUGUCGUCAACUUCCAGACUGUAACCAUUGUUGACGUUAGCCAGGGAUGGAGAUGCAGCAACGGCAACUCAAAUUCGGAUGAAGAUGAUUACUAGCAAUAAUGCAAUAAAUGUUGAUUCAGGGUACUCCCUCCGUCACAGUUUAGAAGGCAUAUUUAAAUUUGCGUGUGUUUCGACAAUAGACAAGGUUUAGGGCGCAUUGAAUUUAUUUCUAAUAGCUAAUCAGUAUUCCGAUAUACUAUUUUUAUAUGCAUGAGUAGUGUGAAUGCUAUUUUUUAGCUCAUCUCACAACCAGUAGAUAACCACCUAGGUCCGAGAGAAUUUCCAAGCGCGCCUUCUAAACCGUGACGGAGGGAGUAAUUGCAAUUAAUUUAAUUAAUGAUGGCUGCAAGAUUAACUGUAAAUAAUGCAAUUGAUAUUGUUUCCAGAUAAUUUGCAUUACAUUUAUUCCAAAUUAACGGUCAUGUGUUUGAUAAUAGCAUUACCUCUCUCUCAGUUUACAGGGCGUGCGCGUGCCCCUAGAUCGUUAAUUUGACCAACUUAAUACAAGUCAUAUAUUACAAAAAAUAUACCAAUAUAAACUUUAGAUGCUCUAUUUUCAAACCGUAUAAUUUUUGUGUUAUAUAGUUUAUAUUAAGAUAAUAAAAUUGGCAACCUAGGUAUAUGCGUAGGACUUAUAAAAUGAAACGGAGGUAGUACAGUACUAAAGCAACAUGAUGCGUUGGAUAUAGGUGGUCGAAUAACUGAGAUCAUUAGUAUUCUAUCCGUCCCAAAUUACACGUCGCAGAAAUGGAUAUAUCUAGAAUUAAAAUACGUUUAGAUAUAUUUAUAUCUGCAACAAGUAAUUCAGAACGGAGGGAGUAGAAUAUAUCAUAUCAUCCCGGGCCGCUUGGUCUGUUUAUUUUGUUUGGUUUGUGUUGUGUGUUUGCUGUUGCGUGCACCGCACCGAACCACCGCCAGCCCACCUCCACCCUCGCAACGGUCUGGUCGCCGGAGUGCUGUCGGAGAAGCAAUAAGUAGCCAGCCAGCCAGCACAUGGUCCCGUCCUCCCAAACGGCUACUUUCUCGCCCCUUCCGCCGCCUUCCGGAACCUUGCUCCGGCUCCGGCACCUGACCAACCAACCUCACCAUGCCGCGCCGGCGCCUGUGCCGCGCGGUCCUCGCCGUCGCCGGAGCGGCCUACCUCGCCUUCCUCCUCCUCUUCGAGCUCCCGUUCUCGUCCCCGUCCUCGUCGUCUUCAGCCUCAGGAGCGCUGACCACCCACCGCUCCCGCCGCCGCGAGCUCGAGGCCUCGGCCUUGGCCUUCCCCUCCUCGCGCUUCUCCCCCUCCCGACCCGCGUUCCCCGCGGCCGUGUCCCCCUCUCCGUCCUCCCCGCCGCCGCUCCCCAUCUUCUCGUCCCUCCUCCUCCUCCCCCGGUCCAACGCCAUGGCGACCCCCUUCGACGGCGCCGCGGCCGACGCCUUCUCCGCCGCAAAGCCCCAUCUUGCGCACCUCCAGACCGCCGCAUCCGCGUCCGCAUCCACCACCUCCCCGCCCCCGUCCUCCCCGAUCUGCCCGGCCUCCAUCUCGCUGCACGCGGACAAGCUCCCCGCCGACGGGGUCCGGACGGUGGAGCUGCCGUGCGGGCUGGCGGUGGGGUCGCACGUGACGGUGGUGGCGCGCCCCAGGCCCGCGCGGCCCGAGUACGACCCCAAGAUCGCCCAGCGCAAGGACGGCGGGAAGACGCCCCUCAUGGUGUCGCAGUUCAUGGUGGAGCUGGUGGGCACCAAGGUGGUGGACGGCGAGGCGCCGCCCAGGAUCCUCCACUUCAACCCCAGGAUCCGCGGGGACUACAGCGGCAAGCCGGUGAUUGAGAUGAACAGCUGCUACAGGAUGCAGUGGGCGCAGUCGCACCGCUGCGAGGGCUUCGCAUCCCGCCCCGCCGAGGAAACUGGUGAGCUUCAGAUUUGCCUGCUUAAUUCGUUUAGCUAGGUUGAAUCCAUGUUGAUUUAAUUUGACUUCAUCUUGCCAUCUCGUGUUCUUCCCUUGUCUAAGGGGAUUGGAUUGAAGUUGGUAACUAGGAAGGGAUUCCAUCAAUUUCAGUGAUCUAAUUGUGUGUGUACUAACAGCGUAGAAAAAAGUGCAAGCUUUGGAAAGAAAUUUCCAGAGAGGGUUCGAUUUCUUUUGCUUUAUGGAGAAUGUUUCUGAUAGUGAUUGUGCUUGAUUUGUCUAAUUGGUGGAAUAUUAUUAUAAGAAUUAGAGAAGGAUGGACCUGCAACCGUGUUUUGAGGAUUACAGCAAUGAUGUGAGUUUGACUUCAACCUGGCAGUGGGUACUUGAACUCCCUGUUCCCAUUUCUUCUUAGCCAAUCACUGACGGAAGAUCACAAUAAUUGAGUGCUUAAUUAGUUAUGCAUAUCUAGUCUGAUUGUUCCAUUAGUUGGUUGCGACCAAAUUAGUUCAGCAAUUAUUCUCAUUGUUUGGAGAAGCUGCAAGUGAAGCUUCUCUAAUUUGGGUUAAUAUUCUGAGGAAGUAGGCAUUUUCGUCGUUCAGCAACAUAUCCAUUCCCUUUUUCCCAAAUCAUUCUAAAAUGAGUUGAAUCGCACUUUUUUUACUUCACUCUAAAAAUGGCAUGUUGACCUGGUUUGAUCUUUCAGUUGAUGCUCAACUCAAGUGUGAGAAAUGGAUUCGGGAUGAUGACAACAAGUCGGAGGAGUCAAAGAUGAAGUGGUGGGUGAAACGUUUAAUUGGUAGGUCAAAGGAUGUGCACAUCAGUUGGCCAUACCCAUUCGGAGAAGGCAAGUUGUUUGUUUUGACUCUCACAGCUGGUUUGGAAGGUUACCAUGUCAAUGUUGAUGGGAGGCAUGUCACUUCAUUUCCUUACCGCACUGUAAGUUCGUCGGUUGAAAAUCCUCAAUCACAAAUCUGGUUCAAUUACAUGAGUAGCCUCCUGAGAUCUGCAUAUCUGAUUUUGGUGGUCUUUACAGGGUUAUACUCUUGAGGAUGCAACUGGGUUGUCUAUCAAUGGAGACAUUGAUAUUGAGUCAAUUUUUGCUAGUUCUCUACCCAGUUCACAUCCUAGUUUCUCCCCAGAGAGAUACCUUGAAAUGUCGGAGCAAUGGAGGGCCCCGCCGCUACCAACUGAACCCGUCGAGCUUUUUAUUGGCAUUCUGUCAGCAGCGAGCCAUUUUGCCGAACGUAUGGCUGUGCGCAAGUCAUGGAUGAUGUAUACAAGAAAAUCAUCUAAUGUUGUAGCUCGGUUCUUUGUGGCUCUGGUAAUUACUUGCUUUCCCCGUGUUUUUGCUUGUUGUUUACAUAUACCAAACUCUGACCAAAUUAAGCAAUUUCACAGAACGGUAAAAUGGAGGUCAAUGCAGAGUUGAAAAGGGAGGCAGAGUUCUUCCAAGACAUCGUCAUAGUGCCUUUCAUGGAUAGUUAUGAUCUUGUAGUUUUGAAGACCAUUGCCAUUGCGGAGUAUGGGGUAAGUAAACUGAAAUAUGUUAGAUAGCUGCUUAUGUUCUGCCAUUUUGUCUCACGCCGUCAGUUUUAUUGACGUUUCUACACUGAUUAAUGGUCAUGUGUAUCCAGGUUCGAGUCAUCCCGGCAAAAUAUGUGAUGAAAUGUGAUGAUGAUACAUUUGUUAGAAUUGAUUCCGUACUGGACCAAGUAAAGAAAGUUAAAAGCGAUAAGAGUGUGUAUGUGGGAAGCAUCAACUACUACCAUAGACCACUGAGAUCUGGCAAGUGGGCUGUGACUUAUGAGGUAAAUUGCUGUCCUGUACUACAGAACCACCAUUCAUCAUCUAUAUUGCUUAAGAAAUGUGAAAUGAAAAAUACUAGCAACUAGCACACUCGUGUUUCCGCUUACUGCCAAAUGACAAGCAACCAAUCACCAACCAGCACCCGGUAUGCUAUCUGUGAAAACCAUUAUGUGUGUUUGCUGUGCAAAUUAGCAGGCACAUCAAAAGCGCAAAUCUUGUAGUGAUUUAUGAGGAUAGUUGCUGGAAUGAUUAAAUAAAUAUUGACAGUCGACAAAUUGUUUUACGUGGAAAAACUCUUUGUGCAAGAGGAGUAAAAACUAUGGGAUCAACAAAGUUCAGUUUUAAGUUCUUGUACUAAUGUACAUAUACUUGAAUAUGUGCAUUAUAGAAAUAACUUGGCAUCAAAAGUGGAUUUUACAUUUCUCUGGUGAGUCAAAGGUCUUGCGUUCAUAUUUUAUACUUGGAACAUGGAUAUAUAAUCUUGUGACAACAAAAUCCGGUGGUUUGUACUUUGUGCUGUCCUUGUUGGCCUUCCAUCUUCCUGUUUUUGGUAUAUCGAAAGUAUAGUUUUCUUGUUUCUUUCCAGGAAUGGCCAGAGGAGGCUUACCCAAGUUAUGCCAAUGGGCCUGGCUAUGUGAUCUCAUCGGAUAUUGCACGCUACAUCGUAUCUGAAUUUGACAAUCAGACGCUUCGAGUAAACAUAUCUAUCUCUUGGAAGCUAUCCAAUUCCACUGACUUUUACUUGCAUCGUGCAGAAGUGGUGAUGGCUAAAUUGUUAAUUCUUUAUUGUGCAGCUAUUUAAGAUGGAAGAUGUCAACAUGGGGAUGUGGGUGGAGAAAUUCAACAUCACUCGUCGGCCGGUAGAGUAUCGGCAUGACGUCAGGUUCUACCAGGCCGGUUGCUUCGAUGGUUACAUCACCGCACACUAUCAGUCCCCCCAGCACAUGAUCUGCCUGUGGAGAAAGUUGCAGUCCGGUAGCACCCAUUGCUGCAACGUGCGAUGACGAUGGCGAAAAUGUGUUGCACCGUCGGUCCGAGAGGAAGAGAUGAUCGGCUCGCAUGCACAUGCAUAUCAAAUGUGGAAAUCAUCAGCUGCGCCGAUGGGCCGUCCGUUUGACAAAGUGCUCUCUGCUGGAUUUAUCAUAUCAUUCUUUCAUUCUUUUGGUCGGUGGCCUGUUUCGAGCCGCUGCUGAUUCUGACACAUGAAGGAUGGGCUUGGGAUCCUUUUGACGCCUGUUGAUGUUUAGUCCCGUCAAAUUUUCUUGACAUAGGAGCUUUUAGGUGCUUGGGGGUAUAUUGCCCUUUGUAUAGAAAACUAGUUUAGGAUUCCAUUUAUGAUAUGUGGCAUUUUAUUUAUUUAUCCAGAAAUGAAACUUAUGGUAAGAACCGAACUGAAUAGUCAGCUCACUAGUCAUCAACAGUCUCUGUUGAUUGGGGGCGUGGUGGCUGUGUGCAUCGAUGCGAUGCAGAGGCCGGGCAUUUGCUUAGUGUGGUUGUAUUACCUCGACAUAUCGAUUGAAUGAAAAUGUCCUUCGGCAAAAAUAAAAAGGGUAACCCGAACAUACAGGUUUCGAAAUGACGAGAGGCUGCCGUUGCACGUUUAUGGAAGGACCAAAUGCUUUGUUGCGCUGAACCAUACAUACCAAGCAACAAUAGUGUCAGGGAAAUGGCCAAGCAACAAUGGUGUCAGGGAAAUGGGUAUAACUUCACAAAAUGAAAAUCGCUGUGUUAGCGAGUAAUCUCUAUCAAGUAAUGUCAACAUAACAAAAGCAAAGGACCGCACAGGGGCGAAGGGAAUUGGAGUAGACAUGCUGCAUCCUCUUUCUUUUUUUUGCUAGAUAGAUUCAACACCAGAUGUUUAACUUGUUGUAACUCACAGAUCCUUCUAAUCAUCAAUAUUUUCUUCUCAACUCAAAAUUUAGAAUGCUUAGAUUGUCAAGAAGAUUCUCUAGAUUGUAAUAUGUGCUGCGAGAGUUUGAGAAUAAAAUAUCAUGAACAACAUAGCCAAGACUUAAGAUUCAGGAACCACAGUACUGAAUGGCGAACCUCUCUGCAAUUACCAGAGUCUAGUCUAGUAUAUCAUUCGAACACUUAUGUUGUUCUACACCCCUUUAAGAAAGAGAAGGGAGUUAUCUUCCCCUAAAAGAAGAACGAAAGAACAUAAAAGAAGAGAAAGAAAUAAAAAGAAAAAUAUAAGUAUAUAUUGUAAACUGAACCAUUUCCUUCAUCGGUGACAUAUGAGUUGUUAGAUCAUCUCCAGCCGUUGCGCCCCCAAGACGCGCCAAAAACCGCCGCUUGGGGGCGAGCCGGCGCUAUUUUANNNNNNNNNNNNNNNNNNNNNNNNNNNNNNNNNNNNNNNNNNNNNNNNNNNNNNNNNNNNNNNNNNNNNNNNNNNNNNNNNNNNNNNNNNNNNNNNNNNNNNNNNNNNNNNNNNNNNNNNNNNNNNNNNNNNNNNNNNNNNNNNNNNNNNNNNNNNNNNNNNNNNNNNNNNNNNNNNNNNNNNNNNNNNNNNGCGCUUUCAGCCCAUUUUCGGCGCUGGAUUGGCCCAAUUUCCGGCACGUUGAUGUUAUUGUGAGUUCCUGGCAUACCAAAGAAAGUGUGCCAAAUCCAGAGGUCCUGUGUGGCCACUACCUCAAGUAUCACACUGCAAGCUCCUUUGACACCUUUGUACAUCCCCUGCCAAGCAAACAGGCAGUUCUUCCAUGCCCAAUGCAUGCAGUGGAUGCUUCCAAGCAUACCAGGAAAUCCUCUUGCUUCAUUCUGUGCCAGGAUCCGAGCAGUGUCUUCAGCAUUGGGUGAUCGCAAGUACCUCGGUCCAAACACUGCCACCACAGCCCUGCAGAACUUGUAGGUGCACUCAAUGAUCGUGGACUCGGCCAUGCGCCCAUAGUCGUCGAGUGAAUCACCUGGAGCCCCGUAUGCAAGCAUUCUCUGGAUUGAGGUGAAUCCAAGUGUGCCGGUGCAAUCCUUCUUGCACCUGAAUUAGUUGUCGUACUCCCCGAGUUCAUUGACUAUCCCGAGGAAAAGAUUUCGGCCCAUCCGAUAACGGCGCCGGAAAACUUUGUCGCCGUGCAAUGGAGCAUCGGUGAAGUAGUCAGAGUAGAACAUGCAAUAGCCUUCGAGCCGAUGACGGUUCUUUGCUUUCCGUCGCCCCGGCGCUGAGCCGCCUCGCCUCGGCUUUGCAUCGCCGGCAAGCAAGCCGGUCAGGGUGGCGAGGACCAUGAGGUGUUCUUCGUCCUGGGCGGCGGCGUCGGCUUCCUCCUCGAGCAACGCCGCUAGCACCUCCUCGUCGUCGGAGUCCAUCGCAGCCGGGGUAGGCACACGUAGCGGGCGUCGUGCGCAGACUCGUCGCCGGGCGCCGGAGCGGCGAGGGAAACUCGGGGAAAGUGGGGGGAGAAGGCGUCGGGGGGAUCUUUCUUUGUUUCACGGCGAGGAAUGGCGAGAUAGCGGCGACGGCGGCGGCGGAGAGGUGGCUGGCGACGCCGGGAUCGGCAAGAUGUCGGGGAAGGAGAGGGGAAAACAGGGCGAAUCAGUGUGACUUUUCGCCUGACAGUGGGGACCCGGGCGAUUUUCCCUUCCGCCGGCGCCCCCAAGCGUCCCCAGUGCGCCGGGUUCGGUCUGAGCGUGCCGGGUCAGAAAAAGGGCCGAUCCGGCGGCGCUACUGGGCCUUUUUUCAGUGCCGGCGCUAAAAAAAGCGGCCUGGGGGGGCAUCUUGGGGGCGUGGCUGGAGAUGCUCUUACAUAUAACAUAUCCAUGUCCAAGCUAUAUAUAGUGCCACAACAAGAAGAUUAGGUCAACAUCCAACAAACGAUUUUUAUGAGGGCCCUAUGUUACUGAUGGCCAUUUUGCAAAACAAGGAAUAUAAGGUGCACAACACCUGAGCUCUUGGGAAGCGCUGAUAACUUGCAAUUUCUGAUUAUCCAUAUUGCAUAAGACUGUCAUCUUCCCAUCAGUAAGGAAAAAUGAAUCACAAUCUGGGUGAAUUGCCAACAUCUUGUAGGACUCGUCAUCUUUGCGAGAAUGCCUUUCGAACAGUACCAAAACAUUAGCAGUGUGCUUUAGUGUCCAUUUUCCGCUAGCAUAAUCCUCAAGAACCCAAACGAAGAGUUGACAACAAUCAUCUACACUCCAAGUAUGCAAGCACCCCUGAGAGAGUCCAAUGGCUGCUUCCGCCAAGCAUGGCGCUUUAAUUUCUCUCCAAAUCUUUCCCUCUCUGUCUACUGUUACUAUUGAAGAAUUAAAGGUAGUCAAAUGGAUAAUUCCAUUCAGGAAGAUGGUAGGUUUGGCCGUAUGCAUCGUUCUGAUGCAGAGGACGGGGAGUCCCCCAGAUUGAUCACGACGCACCACAGCGUCGCGACUCCACUCAUUCAGCGCGAAAGUCCACCGUCCAGUUUCCGAUGGGUAGAUCGCCACUUCUUCGAUGACAUCAAAAUAAUCUGCCAGGGGCACGACCACCACAAAACUGGAGGGGUUGGCUGUAUCAAAACCCAAAAAACGUUCGGCUUGGUCUAUAUCACAAAGGUGACCUCCAACCAGACAGAGAAUCUCUGGUCGGCCCGGGACCUCUAUAGGAGGCAAUACAGUACACUUCUCAGUCACCGGAUUUCACACGACAUAUUCAACAUCCUCUUGCACUGAGGGCGGUUUCCAGCACAUGCAAAGUAGAAGUCCGCCGCAGCAUUUUUCGACACUGCAUUUUUUAUAUUAAUAACUGGUCAAGAAAGAAAGACCGGCAUUGAACAAAGGGGGGCCACCCCCUGCCAGAUCAUGGAAAUAGAGGCCCUCAUCACAGUCCUCUCCGAAGAAGUAGAGGCUGGACAGCAGGGUCAGCGGCGACCUCUUGCGGAUGUCGAGACCGGAGCAGAGGGCGAGCCACGGCUUGGAGACGCACUUGAAGCAGCAGAGCGACUUGUAGCGCACCCGUGAGAGGAUCUCAAUUAUGACGUCGUCGGGGAGGUCCGCCGUGGGCUGCUACUCGUGCUCGUGCAUCAGCUUCUUCUUCUUCUUCUUCUUCUUCUUCUUUUUCUACAAAGGGAAGAGACGAUUCGUUCAGGUUUCCAAUUCUUUUUCUUGGAUGGAAGAUUGGAAGAUUUAGAAGAAGAGGCGGAAGAACAAACCUCUGGAGCAACGAUGUGGAGCGGCGGCGAACGGGACGGAGCGUCCUCGCCGCGGCCACGGGGGCUGGUCGCCGGUGGGGGAUCCUGCUCCAUGGCACCAUAUCCUCCUCGUCCUCCUCCACCUGGCGACAUCGUCUCCUCGGUAUACCGGGACUAUGACACGAACUUGAUCCUCGCCUGAUCGGCUUAUUAGUUAUUACUAGUUGAAUGCUCGUGCGUUGCGAUGGGUCUUAAAAAUGUAUACACUGGUCAUUGUUAUAAUUUAGAAGUGUAUGUCAAACAUGAUUGAUAUUCAUCCAUAUAACGGCAACUUCCAAUUCUUUCUCCCACUUCUUUCUCUAUCAUGUCUCUUUUUUUAACGUGAAAUAGUAGGGGAGACCCCUAAUGUAUAUUUUACAAAAUUAGAAGUGUGUCCUUAACUCCCUAUGUCAUCGUCUCUUUCAGUACCUCCCCUUCAUCGAGAAAAAGCGGUUUUCUCCCCGUCGUUCCUCCUUCCACAUCCAUGGAAUCCAUCCAUCUUUGCUCUAUCAUUGUCGUCAAUUCAAAUGUUGGUCAUUUUAUCCUAACUAUCACUUGGCCACUUCUUCAAAACAUUAGAAGAUCUAUGAAAUAGUGCAUAUGUAUCGACAGAAAUAAUGAGUAGGGACGACGACUUGUACCCUAGUAUAUCUCGUAUGGGGAAGUCAAUAUGAAAAUACCAUGUCUAGUGUUGUACAUUUACACGGAAAUUUUUGUAGGGAUAUCCAUUCUAAUAAAAUUUGACUUAGAGCACUGACUACCAGUUACAUGAAAGACGAUGCAUGCCCUUUUAAAUUACUCACCGCCAACUCCUAAGCAGCAAUGGAGUUUCUUCCUUCCAACCAAAGACGUGAUUUAUGAUCUGAAAAAUAGAACCGGAAAACAGUUAGUAAAGAUUAACCUAAUUUGGAAGAAUAUAGAUUUUUGUCCUUUUUAGUGAAGUAUGAUUACUAAAUUGUAGCUCAUGGCAAGAGCAUAUAGGUCCAGGUCUCUCCUUUUCCCUUCAAUUUAUCUUACCUCUUUUGAUCUUCAUUCAACAUCUGAGAUCUAUUGGAACAAAAUACAUUACUGGAUUGUGUUUGUCUCUAAUAUAGUUACAGUGAAACAAUUGGAAGCACUCAUCUGAUGGGAAAUAAGCUAAGCUUGCAAGGCAUGAGAUGUAUUUAUAAUGAAUAUAAAUAAAAUAAUAAUGAAGUAGCACUAAGACCUUUGUAGUAUUUUACAUCUUGGGAAAAGCUUACACAAGGCACAUCUGGUACUUGCAAGUGGCACUACCUCAUUGUAAAAUGCAACAAUUAGGCAUAAACCAAUCGGCAUGGACAAAAAUCUAAAGAUACUUAGUGUUAUUAGAUUCAACACAUAUACUUUUUAGAACCCUUAAAAUACUCUGUAGGAAAUUUUAUGAUCAACGACAUUUAUGAAGAUCAUUCUGAAAUACACUUGCAAUUUUCUAGAACUAACUUCUAAUAUAAAUUUGAGAUUAACAUCUUUCAGAUGGAAUUAACAAGAAGGCACGUACUACAUCCAGCAUCAUCUUAAGUAGUAACACACAGAUAUUUAGCUAGACUUAACUGUUAGGUAGGUGUGUAUAGAAAGCUCUCGACUGCAGCAUUUUAGUACAUCAUAGUGGCUAAUUUCAGGAUAUAUGAAUAGUCAGAAGACGUAAACAGAGCAAAGAAAGGGUCACCAAAAGGUUCAACGACGUGGAGCUUACAAAGUCUUCCACCUUAGUUUAUCCUACAUUGCCACAGCCUACAUGUAUUUACUUGCAAGAGUCCUAACCUUGGUAUUGAAUUGUUGUUACAGCAAAAAAAUAUGGAUAUCGAAGAAAAACGAAAAGCAAGUUGCAUUCUCUGCAAAACCCCGGCAAUAUAACCUGUCGUAGGAAUAUUGUCAGCAACAACUAUGAUGUACUACUACUAAUUUGAGUAAACAAAUAAGAUAGAUGCAUCACUAACACGAUGUGGGGAUACUAAGCAAAAACAAAACCAUUGUCAGCAACAAAUAGGAAGUUAACUCUGAUGUGCUGCUACAGCCGUCCGUGUGACCUCGUCGUUCUCCACCCCAUCCGACCCGGUCUCCUCCGAUGGCUGCCCCCGCGCCUAUCCAUCAGAACAAGACUAUUCCGCAUUCAGAAUGGCGUAAUAAAUGUUAGAUGUGUAUAGACAUUUGUCUGUAUAUCCCUAAUGUAUAAGGGAUUUCUCUGCACUUUAACACAUAUGUAUAUGUACUGGCCUCUGGCCUCAGUUAAUGUCAAGUUGCUCAUUCCUCACAUGGUAUCAGAUGCUUAGAUUCCUCUCCCACUCCCGCACCACGCAACUCCGUGCUGCUCUUCCCCCGGCCGCCGCUCGGCUUCUUCUUCGGCUGUCUCGUCUGGCUGCUGCUCCGUCUGGAAGCAACCCCGUCAGGUCCACCUCACCCGUCUGCCGCUCCUCCCGUCUGCCCGGUCGUCGCCGCGCCUGUCCAGCCGCAGCCGCGCCCGUCUGGCCGUCGUCACGUCUUCCCGGUCGCAGCCGCGCCCGUCNNNNNNNNNNNNNNNNNNNNNNNNNNNNNNNNNNNNNNNNNNNNNNNNNNNNNNNNNNNNNNNNNNNNNNNNNNNNNNNNNNNNNNNNNNNNNNNNNNNNNNNNNNNNNNNNNNNNNNNNNNNNNNNNNNNNNNNNNNNNNNNNNNNNNNNNNNNNNNNNNNNNNNNNNNNNNNNNNNNNNNNNNNNNNNNNNNNNNNNNNNNNNNNNNNNNNNNNNNNNNNNNNNNNNNNNNNNNNNNNNNNNNNNNNNNNNNNNNNNNNNNNNNNNNNNNNNNNNNNNNNNNNNNNNNNNNNNNNNNNNNNNNNNNNNNNNNNNNNNNNNNNNNNNNNNNNNNNNNNNNNNNNNNNNNNNNNNNNNNNNNNNNNNNNNNNNNNNNNNNNNNNNNNNNNNNNNNNNNNNNNNNNNNNNNCGGUCCGCCCGGCCGCUGCGGCGCGGUCCGCCCGGCCGCUGUCGAGCGAGCCCGAUCGCUACCUCGAGCGGCCUCUGCUCCGCCCUGUUGGAAAUAUGCCCCAGAGGUAAUAAUAAAUUAGUUAUUAUUAUUAUAUUUCAUUGUUCAUGAUAAUCGUUUAUUAUCCAUGCUAGAAUUGUAUUGAUAGGAAACUCAGAUACAUGUGUGGAUACAUAGACAACAUCAUGUCCCUAGUAAGCCUCUAGUUGACUAGCUCGUUGAUCAAUAGAUGGUUACGGUUUCCUGACCAUGGACAUUGGAUGUCGUUGAUAAAGGGAUCACAUCAUUAGGAGAAUGAUGUGAUGGACAAGACCCAAUCCUAAGCCUAGCACAAAGAUCGUGUAGUUCAUAUGCUAAAGCUUUUCUAAUGUCAAGUAUCAUUUCCUUAGACCAUGAGAUUGUGCAACUCCCGGAUACCGUAGAAUGCUUUGGGUGUACCAAACGUCACAACGUAACUGGGUGGUUAUAAAGGUUCACUACAGGUAUCUCCGAAAGUGUCUGUUGGGUUGGCAUGAAUCGAGACUGGGAUUUGUCACUCUGUGUAAACGGAGAGGUAUCUCUGGGCCCACUCGGUAGGACAUCAUCAUAAUAUGCACAAUGUGACCAAGGAGUUGAUCACGGGAUGAUGUGUUAUGGAACGAGUAAAGAGACUUGCCGGUAACGAGAUUGAACAAGGUAUCGGGAUACCGACGAUCGAAUCUCGGGCAAGUAUCGUACCGCUAGACAAAGGGAAUUGUAUACGGGAUUGAUUGAAUCCUUUACAUCGUGGUUCAUCCGAUGAGAUCAUCGUGGAACAUGUAGGAGCCAACAUGGGUAUCCAGAUCCCGCUGUUGGUUAUUGACCAGAGAGUUUUCUCGGUCAUGUCUGCAUGACUCCCGAACCCGUAGGGUCUACACACUUAAGGUUCGAUGACGCUAGGGUUAUAGGAAAAGUAUGUACGCGGUUACCGAAUGUUGUUUGGAGUUCCGGAUGAGAUCCCGGACGUCACGAGAAGUUCCGGAAUGGUCCGGAGGUAAAGAUUGAUAUAUAGGAAGUAUGGUUUUGGCCACCGGAAGUGUUCCGGGCAUCACUGGUAGUGUACCGGGACCAUCGGAGGGGUCCGGGGGUCCACCAGGUGGGGCCACCAGCCCCGGAGGCAUACAUGGGCCAAUAGUGGGAAGGGACCAGCCUCUAGGUGGGCUGGGGCGCCUCCCACCAAGGCCCAAGGCGCCUCCAAGAGGGGAGGGGGGCAAACCCUAGGGCAGAUGGGCCCUAAGGCCCAUCCCAGGUGCGCCUCCCCCUCUCCCCCUUGUGGCCGCCACCCUAGAUGGGAUCUAGGGCUGCUGCACCCCUUGGGGUGGGAACCCUAGGUGGGGGUGUAGCCCUCCCUCUCCCCCUAUAUAUAGUGGAGGCAAAGGGGCAGCCCAACACACGAAGUUCUUCCCCUGUUUGCGCAGCCCUACCCCUCCCCCUCCUCGUCUCUCGUAGUGCUUGGUGAAGCCCUGCUGGAGUUCCGCGCUCCUCCACCACCACCACGCUGUCGUGCUACUGCUAGACGGAGUCUUCCCCAACCUCUCCUUCUCCCCUUGCUGGAUCAAGGCGUAGGAGACGUCACCGGGCUGCACGUGUGUUGAACGCGGAGGCGCCGUGGUUCGGCGCUUAGAUCGGAAUCAAUCGCGAUCUGAAUCGCUUCGAGUACGACUCCUUCAUCCGCGUUCUUACAACGCUUCCGCUUAGCGAUCUACAAGGGUAUGUAGAUGCACUCUUCUUCCCCUCGUUGCUAGAUUACUCCAUAGAUUGAUCUUGGUGAUGCGUAGAAAAUUUUAAAUUUCUGCUACGAUCCCCAACACGCCCGUGCGUGAGCACGACCCCUGCCCCCUGGGCCCGUCUCGCUCGUGGCUGGAUCGGGCGCCAGCCACCCCUUCUCUCGUUCUGCAUCGCGAUCUGGUGCGUGAGCGCAUGCGAUUCAGCUGCUUCUCCCGAUCCAGAUCUGAUCUGGCUGUGUGCAGUUGACCAAAAGAGAGAGAGAGAGAGGCCAUGUCCUCUUCGGUCUACGUUGUUGUUCCUCGUUGCUCGGUGAUCUUCGAUGGCACCAAGUAUUCUGAGUUUGUCGGCUUUAUGCGCAUCCAUAUGCGUGGACUUCUUCUGUGGGGUGUUCUCUCUGGCGAGGUCCCCUGUCCGCCAUGUCCGGUUGCGCCAGUGGCCCCAAUCCCACCAGUGCCGCCGAUUCUUGCUGCUGCCUCUCAGGUUGACCGGGAUGCUGCCAAGGCUCUGGAUGACGCUGCGGUUGAUACUUAUGAUCAGCAUGUAUCUGCUUAUUCCGAUGCUCUCUCUGUGUACCGGGAUGAUCUGUCUGCUUACACUCAGUGGUGCAAUGAUGAUGCUCGAGCUGCUGCUGUUCUCACCGCGAGUGUCCUCCCUCAGUUUGCUUCCGAGUUCAUGGGACUGGGCACAGUUGCCGCAUUAUGGUCUUAUCUCUGUCGGCGCUAUCAGCCAUCUGGUGAUGCUCUCUACCUAUCUGUGGUGCGCCAGGAGCACGCACUCUAGCAAGGUGAUGCUUCUGUUGAUGAGUUCUAUUCCCAGUGCUCUGCCAUCUGGCGCCAGCUUGACUCUCUUCCGACAGUUGUUUGUGGAACCUGUCAUUGCCGUCAGACUACUCGCUCUGAUCUGGAGUUUCAGCGGGUCCAUGAGUUCUUAUCUCGUCUCCGGUCUGAGUUUGAGCCUCGCCGUGCUCACUUGCUUGCUCGUGGUCGUAUUCCUAUCUCAGAGAUACUUGCUGAGCUUCGUGCUGAGGAGACCCGCCUUCGCUCAGCUGGGCUGCUUCUGGUUCCGUCAGUAUUGGUCACCCGGGCUUCUGUGUCGUCUGCUCGCCUCACUGCUCCGCCGCUUCUGCCUACUCCUCCAGGGGGUGAGCCGUCCUCCUUAUGCUGAGAAGGGCAUGUCGCGCCGUGACACCGUAUGUGGUUACUGCUCCCGGCCAGGCCACCCAGAGUCUGAUUGUCGCCAGAAGAAGCGAGACCAGAGACGCUCCUCCUCGAGCGGGACUCCUGUGUCUUCCUCGACUCCGUCACUCACUGACCAGGACAUUGUUCGCCUCAAGCGUCUUCUUGCGUCCUCAGGCUCCUCGUCGACUGCUUCUGCUGCUGCUGUGACUACAUCUCCUUCCUCACCAUCACCGGCAGCUACACAGUCAGGUACAUCUUCGUGGGUUCUGAAUUCUGGAGCCUCUUUUCAUGUCUUCUGAUUCUUCCGUGUUGUCUUCUCUCCGACCUCUUGAUUCUCCUGUUAAUGUUCUUACUGCCGAUGGCACAUCUCUUCCUGUUGCUAGUCGUGGUAUUCUUUUCACUCCAUCUUUUUCUGUUCCAAGUGUUUCACAUGUUCCUCGUCUUACCAUGAAUCUUUUUUCCGCUGCCCAACUUACUGAUUCUGGUUGUCGGGUCAUUCUUGAUACCGACUCUUGCUCCAUUCAGGAUCGUCGCACCAAGGCUUUGGUUGGUACUGGCCCCCGGCGCCGUGAGUCAGAGGGCCUUUGGGAGGUUGACUGGCUUUGUGUUCCUUCCUCUGCCACAACUUCUGUCAGCUCUCAUGCUCUUACUGCCUCUUCGUCCGCGUCCUUCCAGCAGUGGCAUCAUCGCCUUGGUUACAUCUAUGGAUCUCGCUUUUCUUCUUUAGUUCGUCAGGGCCUCUUAGGGUCUAUAUCUGGAGAUGUCUCCUUACAUUGUAAUGGUUGCAGACUUGGCAAACAGACUCAGUUACCUUAUCCUACUAGUGAUUCUGUAUCUCAACAUCCCUUUGACUUAGUUCAUUUUGACGUCUGUGGUCCUGCUCCCUUUGAUUCGAAAGGUGGUCAUCGCUACUAUAUUUUGUUUAUUGAUGAUUUCUCUCGCUACACUUGGCUCUACUUCAUGAAAUCCCGUAGCGAGGUUCUCUCAAUAUACAAACGUUUUGCUGCCAUGGUUCACACCCAGUUUGCCACGCCCAUUCGUACUUUUCGUGCUGACUCUGCUGGCGAGUUUAUCCCUCAGAUGUUGCGCGUUUUUCUCGCGGAACAUGGUACUCUUGCCCAGUUUUCCUGUCCUGGUGCUCAUGCUCAGAAUGGCGUUGCCGAACGAAAGCAUCGUCAUUUGCUUGAGACGGCUCAUGCGCUGAUGAUUGCUGCUUUCCUUCCACCCCAUUUUUGGGUUGAGGCUGUUUCCGCAUCCACCUAUCUCAUCAACAUUCAGCCAUCGACUGCUCUUCAGGGUGGUAUUCCUAUGGAGUGUCUCACUGGUCGCUCUCCUGACUACUCAGCUCUUCGUAUGUUUGGAUGCGUGUGCUAUGUUCUUCUUGCCUCCUGAGAACGCACCAAACUGACUGCUCAGUCAGUUGGGUUUGUUUUCCUUGGCUACAAUGAUGAGCAUAAGGGCUAUCGAUGUUGGGAUCCUGUGGGCCGUCGCUUGCACAUCUCGCGUGAUGUGACUUUUGAUGAGUCUCAUUCUUACUUUCCACGUUCUUCCUCCUCGAGUUUCUCUGUGGACGACCUUUCUUUCCUUCUCCUUCCCGAUACACCCUGCUAUGUGUCUCCUGUGUCACCUCUUCCUCCGGCACCUCUCAUUCCCUCUCAUUCACCACCAACCCCGUCUUCUCCAUCCUCCUCCUCCACCUCUCCUCCAUCAUCUCCAGUCCGUCACCCUCUCUUCCCGUUUCCCCUUCACUAUACUCGUCGAUCUCGUCCUGCGGAUGUGUCCUCUGACGAGCCUUCCACCUCUGGUGCCCCUCCUCCCACGCCUCCCCCGGUUCACAACCUCCGUGCUCGGCCUCGCCCCCACCUGAUUGCUACUCCCCUGAUCGGUACGGUCUCUCUGUUAUUGCUGAGCCUACUUCCUAUCGGACUGCCAUGACUCAGCCUGAAUGGCAACUUGCGAUGGCUGAAGAGCUUACUGCUCUUGAGUGCUCUGGCACAUGGGAUCUGGUUCCCCUUCCUUCCGGUGUCCGUCCCAUCACCUGCAAGUGGGUCUACAAGAUUAAGACUCGCUCCGAUGGUUCUCUUGAGCGCUACAAAGCUCGUCUUGUGGCCCGUGGUUUUCAGCAGGAGCAAGGGCGAGAUUAUGAUGAGACUUUCACUCCUGUGGCCCACAUGACCACUGUCCGCACUCUUCCUCCUGUGGCUUCUGUUCGUCAGUGGUCUAUCUCUCAACUUGAUGUUCAGAACGAUUUUCUCAAUGGCGAGUUGCGUGAGGAGGUUUUUAUGCAGCCACCACCGGGGUACUAUGCUCCUGAUGGUAUGGUCUGUCGACUUCGCCGCUCCCUAUAUGGUCUCAAACAGGCCCCUUGCACCUGGUUUGAGCGUUUCGCCUCUGUGGUGACUGCGGCUAGCUUCUUGCCCAGUGAUCAUGAUCCUGCGUUGUUUUUUCACAUGUCUCCUCGUGGUCGGACUCUUCUCCUUCUCUAUGUUGAUGACAUGAUCAUCACUGGUGACGACUCUGAGUACAUUGCCUUUGUUAAGGCUCGUCUUCGAGACCAUUUCCUCAUGACUGAUCUUGGUCCCCUUCGCUAUUUUCUUGGGAUUGAGAUCUUCUCGACCCUUGAUGGCUUCUACAUCUCCCAAGAAAAAUAUAUUCAGGAUCUUCUUACUCACGCUGCUCUUGGUGAUGAGCGCACAGCUGUCACUCCUAUGGAGCCCCACGUUCAGCUUCGUGCAUCUGAUGGUGACCCUCUUCCUAAUCCCACUCGCUAUCGUCACCUCGUUGGCAGCCUUGCCUAUCUUGCUGUUACGCGUCCUAACAUCUCCUAUCCUGUCCACAUCCUGAGUCAGUUUGUGUCAGCUCCCACCUCUGUCCACUAUAGUCACCUCCUCUGUGUUCUACGAUAUCUUCGUGGCACGAUCUCUCAACGCCUUUUCUUUCCCCGCUCCAGCUCGCUUGAGCUCCAGGCUUACUCUGAUGCUACCUGGGCUAGUGAUCCCUCUGAUCGACGCUCGCUGUCUGCUUACUGUGUCUUUCUUGGUGGCUCUCUUAUUGCCUGGAAGACAAAGAAACAGACUGCAGUUUCUCGCUCAAGUACAGAGGCUGAGUUGCGAGCCAUGGCUAUGUUGACGGCUGAGGUGAUCUAGUUACGAUGGUUACUUGAGGAUUUUGGUGUGUCUGCUACUACCUCCACUCCUCUCCUGUCCGACAGUACCGAUGCUAUCAGUAUUGCUCGUGACCCGGUGAAGCAUGAGCUCACCAAGCACAUCGGUGUGGAUGCCCACUUUGUGCGUGCUGCUGUGCAGGAUCAGACUCUUGCUCUUCACUAUGUGCCUUCCGAGUUACAGUUGGCGGACUUCUUCACCAAGGCACAAACUCGAGCGCAACAUAGUUUUCUUCUCUCCAAACUCAGUGUUGUUGAUCCACCAUGAGUUUGAUGGGGGGUGUUAGAUGUGUAUAGACACUUGUCUGUAUAUCCCCAAUGUAUAAGGGGUUUCUCUGCACUUUGACACACAUGUAUAUGUACUGGCCUCUGGCCUCAGUUAAUGUCAAGUUGCUCAUUCCUAACAAUAAACACAACAAGACUAUCAAAUUUUAGUUACAAAUCAAGCAAAACUCUCACAAGGUCUACAGAACUGAAAAGUAUAAUUUCUCCUAGACUACAUCUCAGCAAUGACAGAUUUACUUUCUUUUUUGAGAAAGUGUCAAAAAAUUUCAAACAUAUAGAGCAGUAUUAGAAGUCCAUGCUCAUACCUCUUCUUUAUCCUGGAACUAUUAUGCCAUCUCCAUUAGAAGUUGCUGGAAGAAUAUGACCAAAAAUAAUAGUGCAUGUCAUAGCCAAGAAAUCAAGAUCAAGCACAAGUUUUCUAUUAGGAAUCAGACCAAGAAGAGAACCGUAUAAAUUUAGAGAAAAUAUGCAUCUAUACUAUUAGUGCAGAUCAUAACUAAGAAACCAAGAUGAAUAUUUUUACUCGAGUUCUCUUUUAGGAAUCACACCUUUUCGCUCAGAAUAUCCAUGCAAGAGAGCAUUGUGAGCUGGCUAGUGGGCCCUGGGACCAUCUGUAACUGUGUGUGCGUGUCGUGUAGGAGGAGUAUAUGUGACAGUCAGUCUCUGAAUUCUCUGUCUCGUUCUCUGAACCUCACAAACUCUCUUGUAUGGCUUCCUCCUCGUAUCUUCAAUUCCCCAUCCCCAAACUCUCCUGUAUGGCUGAUGAAAUAGAUGAUUCGAGAAAUCACAAAAUUUUAAGAGAGAAGGAAGAGAAACUUAUGGCACUUAUUGGGUGGUUGUACAUCUUCUAUCCAGAUCAGGCCAAAGCAGGCGGGACUGUGGACUCAGUCGCGGAAGGCCUCCAGGGCAAGCGGGAAAUCUCGAGGUCGGUGUUGAGCAAUGAUAGGGUGGAGAUGUUGCCGUGCUCCAUGCACAGUCACCGGGCGAACCCCUUGAACACAUCCGCUGCAGCGUGCUGCCGCUCGAAGUUGUCAUAGGCAGGAGAAGGUCAGCUACGGCCAUAGAGCCACGAGAAAGAGAGCGAUGGAAUUGGGGGAAGGGCGCGUGGGCCUUGGAGGUGGGACGACGUGCAUACGUGGGCUGUUUUAUUUUCUUUUUGAUUUUUCUUUCAUGCAAGGAGUUUUUUUUUGCACCAAAUUUAGGAGCUUUAUUGAUCAAGUAGCAUGAGGUUACAAUCAGUUCUGGACCCAAUCCAGCUUUCAGUGCCAUCCAGUGAGCAGGCGAGGCGAGCACACUGAUGGGCUGGUACAUUGCAAGAUCUACCAAUAUGAGUAACCGUCAAAGAAGCAAAACUAGCACUAAUCUCCUCUAAUUCCUCCAAGAUAGGCGCAACAAUUGAACGAGAAUUGUCGCGCGAUUUCCAGAUGUUGACUAGCUCUAGGCAGUCAAUCUCCAUUACCACGUGUGAGAAGCCGCGAAGUUGAGUGAAGAUCAUCCCCUCCCGGAAAGCUAAAAGUUCAGCAAUGAACGGGUCAGUGACACCCGAUAGGGGUUUACUCCAUGCUCCAAGAAAUGAAAGGUGCGAACGCACCACCCCUCCCGCUCCAGCCUUCGUGUCUUCAAUACUGACAGCAACAUCCGUGUUUGUAGUAACCCAACCUGCCUCGGGCGGGCGCCAACACUGAGCUGCCGAGCUCUUCUUGCGCGAUGGUGGAAGAUCCAGAAUAGCCAAGGUUUCAUGUAUCCACUUCAGGGCUUGAACUGGGUCGUAGCCAUCGCGAUCAUGAGUCCAACAGUUAUGUGAUGACCAUAUGAUGUGCAUGAUCGUAACAAUCCUGCAGCGGUCUUCUUCUGCGAACUGGGUGUCCAUCAGGAUAUCCCGUGCCCAAGUAUCCGGAUGCAAAUGAGGUUGAUGAAGUUGAAAUCUAUCUGCAGCUGCAAUCCAGAACUGCCUUGCAUGCGAGCAGUGAACUAGUGCAUGAAACAAGUUUUCAUCAAUUGCUUUGCAAAUACCACACCGGCCCAAUGGCUUAAUGUGUCGGUAUUGCAAAGUGACCGAAUCUGGUAGUAUACCCCAGAGUACUCUCCACCAGAAUACACGGACUUUUGGAACCACAUGUAAUUUCCAUAGGACAUUCCACAUCUGUUUGUUAGCUGAUGAAGUUUCUGUAAUCGUCCCUUCCUCUAGAGCGUGUUGCUCGUUCCGAGUCACAAGAGAGCGAUACACGGAUUUUACAGAGUAGUUGCCAGAUUUCUCUAAGGCCCAUGCCAAAAAAUCUUGGCCAUCGUUGAUGUUUAGGGGUAUAUUGAGGAUAGCUUCAACAUCCGGUUGCAAGAAAUUUGCUUGAAUGAUGUCCACAUUCCAGUUGCCUGUGUAGUCAUCUAUCAGUUCUAAGACCGUGGCUAGUGGGGAAGAGCCAAUGCGCCGCAUCGGUUUCAGAAAGAGAUUGCCAGGGAUCCAGGGAUCUAUCCAAGUGGAGAUAGUAGAACCGUCUCCAACUCUUUUGAUAAGCCCAACAUCGAGGGCCUUUCUCCCCGCAAUAAUUGCUUUCCACGUAGUCGAGGCUCGAGCAGGAGCACUCGCAUUAAGGAAUUCGGUGUGCGGAAAAUAUUUACCCUUAAGCACUCGCGAGCACAAAGACUCCGGUUUUGUGAGAAGAUGCCAACCAUGUUUCCCGAGCAUUACGAGAUUCAACACCUGCAUGUCACGGAAACACAUGCCGCCCUUCACUUUGGGUGUUGCAAGUUUAUCCCAAGAGAGCCAGUGGAGUGUGCGUUUGUCUAUGGAGCUCCCCCACCAAUAUUUGGCCAUGCAUGAAAUAAUACUCUUGCACACCUUUUUGGUAAGCAGAAAACAGCUCAUACUGAAGGUAGGGAUGGCCUGAACCACUGUUUUGAGCAAUACCUCUCGUGUCACACAUGCCAUGUUCCUUUCGGAGUAGCCGUGUAGCUUACUUCGACAUCGAUCCACAAUAUGAUAAAACGUCCCAUUAGUUAUCUUGCCAAUAGCUGUAGGUAAACCAAGGUAGCGCUCCGAAAAGGCCUCAACAUGUAUGUCCAGAGAUUGCUUGAGCAUCUGCCUUGUGGGUUGAUGUGUAUUGGUGCUAAAAAAUAUAGAGCUUCUCUCCCUGUUCACUGCUUGUCCAGAACAAUCAGCGUAAAUCCGGAGAAUAUCGUUCCAUCUAUCUGCACUCUGAGCUUGUGCAUUCAAGAAGAUAAGGCAGUCGUCGGCAAAAAGCAAGUGAUUAACCCAAGGUGCAUGGAUACUCACCCUAAUUCCUCGAUCAAUGUAUGCUCCACCAAAAUUAUUCAGGAGUGAGGUAAGGCCUUGAGCACAUAGCAGGAAGAGAUACGACGAGAUGGGGCAUCCUUGCCGUAAACCUCGUGAGGGAGUGAAGUACGGUAGUAGCUCUCCAUUCACCUUAAUGGUAAACCGAACAGAAGUGACACAUUUCAUAACCAACCGUAUAAAAGCAUCUCCAAAGCCCAGCCUCGCAAGCAUUGCUUCGAGAUAGUGCCAUUCCACUCUGUCAUAAGCCUUGAGCAUGUCCAGUUUGACAUCACAACAAGAAUUCUUUCCCUUUUUCCUCCGCUUAAUAGCAUGGAUAGUCUCAUAAGCCACAAGUACAUUAUCUGUAAUUACGAGACCAGGUACAAAUGCACUUUGCUCUUCCCCUAUAACCUCAUCCAGAAUACCACGGAGUCUAUUGGCAAUUGCUUUGAUGGCAAUUUUGUAGAGCACCGGGCAUAAGGCAAUGGGACGAAAUUGUGAGAUUUUCUGCGGGUGUCGUACCUUAGGGAUCAGCGUGAUGGCAGUAUCAUUCAAGCCUAGAGGUAACUCUCCCCCGUUCAGAAAGGCAAGCACGGCCAUUGUUAUAUCCUCACCUAGAACAUUCCAAUGCCGUUGAUAGAAACCUGCCGUAAAACCAUCCACCCCGGGGCCUUGGAUGGUGCCAUAUCAAACAACACCUUUUUCACCUCCUCCGCUUUGUAAGGUCGCUGGAUAAAGUCGUUCAUAGCAUCGGUGACACUAGGCUGUACACAGUCAAGUAACUCAUUCAUCGGCCUAAAACCUUGUGUUUGAUACAUGUCUUGAAAGAAAUCACCAACUUCUUUUUUCACUUCCUCUGGAUCUUGCAAUAUCUGACCGUUGGAGUUUUCCAGAGAAGUAAUGCGGUUCUGUCUCUUACGCUGCGCGGCCUGGGCCUUAAAGUAGCCCGUGUUGCGGUCUCCCUCACGUAGCCAGAGAACCCGCGAUCACUAUUUGAGCCAUAUCUCCUCUUGGCGUAAGGCUUCACGCAGCUGAGAUGAAACGGACAACUCCUCUUGCGAAGGGCCACGCCCCAUCGAGGAGCUUCUCACACGUUCUAGGCGCUUUUGGAGUGUGCGGACUUUCUUUGAGAGAUUGCCAAACUCCCGUUCACCCCAGGAUCCUAGAUCCUUUUGGACGAUGGCCAAAGCAUCGACCACUCCUUGUAAACCUUCUUGUCCAGCGCCAACCCGCCAAAGAUCAAGGAUCAGUUGAUCAUAUUGGGCAUGGCACUGCCAGACGUUUUCAUAUCUGAAUGACCACUGCUUCCGUUGCCACUUGUUCUGUUCUGAAGUUCUUGGCUCAACGACUACGAAACAGUGGUCAGAUUCCACACAACUGAUAUGCUUCACAUUCGUUGCUUGAUAAAGAUUUAGGAACUGCGCAUUAGCCAGGGCACGAUCGAUGCGAGCUUUCACAUUCGACGCCCCAUCCUGUCUGUUAUCCCAUGUAAAGGGAACCCCUCUCCAUCCCAAGUCUUGGAGAGAACAGUCCGCUACCACAUCCUGGAAAGCCCGAAUCUGGGAUUGCGGUCUGGGAUUAGAACUGAAGUGCUCAUCCGCAUGCAACAUCUCGUUAAUCACCCAUGCAUAACCAUGCCCGAUGCGGGACAGCAAAUAACGUACGAAGGAAACGCCAACUAUGGUGUCUAUUUUCCACUCAUGGCUCUCCGUAGAAACCAGUAAAACGCCAAGCUUUAUUGCCAUGUUUCACAUAAACAUCAAUGUGUGACGGGCUGUAAUUUUCAAGCUUGACAUCAACAUCUUUGGAGCAGAAAAGGCCAACACCACCACUAAGACCGUUGCUAUCAGCAGCAAAACAACCGGAAAAACCUAAAGAAAACUUUAAAUCUUCCACUCUUUUGCCCUUUAUCUUGGUUUCCAUUAAGAACAGAAGGGCGGGUCCUUCUUGCUUCACAAUCUUGCGAAGCUCACGAACUGUUUGAGGGUUCCCAAGCCCUCGACAGUUCCAGCUUAUUACACUCAUUUGGCCGGGCAGCGCUAACCAGCAGACGCCGCCGAAUUUUCUGACGAGGGUGGAGUGGGCUUCUUUUUCUUUGGGUGUCUGUCAGCCACCAAUGCUCCAUCUCCCUCCUCCCCCUCAGAGGUCGAAGCACCUGUAACAAGGUCCAUAGCUGCAGUUUCAGUUCCUUGUUCCCCUUGCUGAGUAAUAGCCAGUACAGGCGUCUGAACCACCGGUCUGUACACCUGAGUCUGCGGUCCUCCUUUCCUCUUGUUUUGGAUAGGUUUCUUAGGAGAGGUGACCUCAUUGGCAGUGGAUUUCUGCUGAGGCAUCGACGUGCGAGAUUCCCUUGUGCUAUUUUGCUACUCAAACUUCUCCUUCGCCGAGCUAUCUCCAGAAUUAGGUUUCUUCUUCUCAUCCGAUGCCCUAAGCGAAGAUCUGAAAGGCAGAUCACCCUUCUCAUCUCUUUUCCCCAGAGUUGGGCACAGGAGGUCUGAGUGUCCAAGUCGGCCACACGAAAAGCAAAAGUGAGGCACCUAUUCGUACUGAAUAUCAUACCAGUCUGUUUUGUUCCUUCUGGCCGACUCGAUCGCUAUCCAUCUACGGAGAGGCUUCUGUACAUUGAUUGAAACUCUGGAUCUGAGGAAGCCACCCACCGGAUCUAUCUGCACUGCAGUUGCCUGAGUAUCAAUCUGCCUGGCAAUAGCUAAGCCCCACUUAUCAUUCCUCAUAUUGUAGGGCAAAUUCACUACCCUGGCCCAAAGCUGAAGCCGGUCGAAGCGAAGCUCUGACAGCUGCAUAUGGGGCUGGAAGUUCUCAAGGAUUAUCACAUGUUUGUUGAUGUGCCAAGGCGAUCCAUCCCAAACCCGAUCUCUAUCCCGUUUUGAUUCAAAUUCCGCCACAAACAUGUUUUCCCCUAAGGGUCGUAUGGACAAGCCCCUAGGGUUUCCCCAUGCUGGACGAAGGGCGUUAGAGAUCGUCUGUAUGUGGAAGAGAUUUCGGUGCAACACUUUGCUAGCCAGGAGCCACUUCAGUGGCGCAUCAUCAUCCUCCAGAUCGUUGAUCACCAGAGGAGUUGCUUCUUCCUCCGAGAUGUUGAGUUUGCCCAGCGCCUCCUCCAUCGCCGCCCUGGUCGAGCGGUCUUGAGAGGAGNNNNNNNNNNNNNNNNNNNNNNNNNNNNNNNNNNNNNNNNNNNNNNNNNNNNNNNNNNNNNNNNNNNNNNNNNNNNNNNNNNNNNNNNNNNNNNNNNNNNNNNNNNNNNNNNNNNNNNNNNNNNNNNNNNNNNNNNNNNNNNNNNNNNNNNNNNNNNNNNNNNNNNNNNNNNNNNNNNNNNNNNNNNNNNNNNNNNNNNNNNNNNNNNNNNNNNNNNNNNNNNNNNNNNNNNNNNNNNNNNNNNNNNNNNNNNNNNNNNNNNNNNNNNNNNNNNNNNNNNNNNNNNNNNNNNNNNNNNNNNNNNNNNNNNNNNNNNNNNNNNNNNNNNNNNNNNNNNNNNNNNNNNNNNNNNNNNNNNNNNNNNNNNNNNNNNNNNNNNNNNNNNNNNNNNNNNNCGAACGAGGUGGGGGGUAUCGAAGGAGGUUGAAGCAUCGAAAGAGAUCGAACUAUCAUGACGUUUGAUCCCCCUUUAAUAGUAGAGAUUAGGAAGCCCUCUCGUCCUGCGUCCCGCACGGAAAAAAUCCAACGCAAAAAGAAAAGAAAAUAGGGCUAAAAAAAAACCGCAACCCACACAUGCAGUCAACAUCACCCACGACUCCCGCCCGUGCUAAUCCAAUGCCCCCGCCGACUCCUCCAGCUCCUCCACAAGUGCAGUCUGGAGCAUGUACCUACAUUAGCCGGCGACAUGGGGGCCGCCGUGGCUGUUGCAGACGGCGAAGAACUGCAGUCGAGGCAGUCAUUCAGAGCCGGAACCAUGGUGGCGGCUUCCUCCAUCUCCGGGCAGCAUCUGUAGGAGGACUCGAGACCCCACAGCGGCGAGGAGUCGAGGGUGAAGAUGGUACUUCACGAGUAGGAUAUUGGCGCGGCGUGUGCGGGCAGAUCGAUCAUCUGAGACGAGCAUGUCAGGUCCCUCUCUGAAUUUUUUAGUCGGGAAAUUAUUGACACCUCCCCUGUUUCGGCAUGUCAGAUGAUGUUGUUGACGUUCAUUUGCCAUCCAACGGCUCACAAGACAGGAUACCAGUUCGCCUAGUUGUAGUCGACAAAUUCAUUGAUCGGGGAUCAAACGUCUCACAGACUUCUCCACAUCGCUGUUCAAUGUCCGGCACUUCUUGCUUGAGUUCUCUUUUCAUCUGCUGCCUUGUUGUAAUGGCUGCAAAGCUACUUCUUCUAUAACAUUUGGGACAAAGUUAUGGUAAUUGGCAGUGGCGGAGCUUGGGACACAUCUUAGGAGGAGCAAAUGGGCUGGGGGGCAACUAACAUCAGGUUUAGGCUAGAUUUCUAUGAAUCUAUGGGCAAUUACCUAUGAUAAUAUGAAGAAAUCUUCUGGGUAGGGGGGGCGAUGGCCCAGCUUGAUCUCCACUAAGCUCCGCUACUGGUAAUUGGGUUGUAAACCCUAGACGCCCACUACUAGGAAAAGCGCUAUAGACAGCCACAUAACAGUGCCAUGUGGUAGGUAGGCCACGCUGCUGCUAUUUAGAAGUAGCACGGUGUUGAACCCAGCGCUGCAGGUGAACAUUAGCGGUUGCGCGGGUUCAUAGAAUCACUAAUUAUAACAUCAAAUGUGUUCUAUCUACAAAUGAUAGCUAUCAACCACACAAUCUUAUAUUUAUUCCGUUCUUUUUGUAGCAGAUGCUUCUUCCAUGUUGAAGAUGAAGAAGCGAUAUCAAGUAGUACCAAGCAUUACCGACGGCAUGCCGAGCACUCGUCCUCGACUGGUUCUAUACCCCCAUCCACGAAAUGAGUUUUCCUUUUAUGGUUUUACCUUAAUAAGCUACACAUCUUUUUGUGAAAAAAUUAUUCAUGGUUCCUUGACAAAUUCAUCAAUGUUUUAUGUGGGUGGGUGGUGUGUGUGUGUGUGUGGGGGGGGGUAGAUUGAUACCUUAAUUUAUCACUAAUGGGAAACCUACUAUUACCUACAAAGCCUUACACUUGGGAGCCAAACAACUGUUGUCAAGAAAAACUACCUGGAACAAUAAUACUAGGGGUCUUCCAGCACUUUUUCAUCACCUCAAUGGAGCUAAACAUGUUCAUAUGUUCAAUACAUUAGCCUCCUCAUCACUUGUCAUUAUCACCAGAACCCUUUAGGUGCUUCAAUGUUCUUUUAAUAUCAAAUAUUGAAUCAUAUGUAUGCAAAAGUAGUAGCGUCAUCUAUAAUUCUUUUAUAGGUUAUUACUAUUAACAAAUGGUUUUUUAGUACCGGGUAGAACAGUGGCGUCGACGAGCCGCCUGCAGCUCUGCCCAGUUCACAUCCUAGUUUCUCCCUCAGCGCAGACAAAUAUUCUGGAAAGAAGAACCUAAUCCCCAAACAGAAAAAUAGAAACAUCAGCAACAAAGGAUAAAGUGCACCAAACUUUGGGCAACCUGUAGCUAACUCAGAUUGCCUGGGCUAGAGAAAUAUAUAUCAACAAAUGGCUAACCAAAUCAACAAUACAAGACUCUAAACAUCUCCUGAAAUCUCUUUGGUUCGAUAGCCUACAAGCCUGUGGCGCCUAUGCGAAGCCUAUCCCCCAACCAGGUGUGAAGAUCCCUUUGAAGCAGGACUGUUGGCAGAUAGGGAAGGGAUUCAGGCAGCGACCACCUAUGCAACAGAGCCGUUUGUCCUUCAAACUGACUGUUGGAAUCUGAUUAAGACGCUGGAGAAUCCGAGCCAAGAUAUGUCACGACUAGGCCAUCUGGAUAGAGAGGUGAAGAAGUUCUCGUGGAAGAAAGGAGGCCAUCUAGUUAGAGAGGUGAAGAAGUUGUUCGUGGUAGAUGGUAGCCCAAAAUAUCCCACUCUUGCAAUGCUCAAACAUAACAACUUUCACAACAACUUCACCGUAUUCAUUACACUGGAUCUCCACAUGCUUAAAUUCCAAAAAUCCCGCAAAAGGAAACAAGUAGUGCACAUCAUAUAUUAUCUGCAUAUUGUUUACUGAAGGAAUCAGGAAGUAUGUAUUUUUUUUGAUAGAAGUCACAUCAGGAGUCCUCAGAUUUGUGAUAACAUCAGAAUUCAGAACACUAAAAUUGGGGCAGAGAAUCAUGACAAUGGUUUAAUAUAUACUCAAGAAGUUUCUUGAAAAAUAUUUAUCUAAUCACACACUAAAACCCUCCUUCCAUCUAUAUAGGGCCUAAUGCGUUUUUCGACGCUAACUUUGACCAAAUGUUAGAGCAAUAAUAUAUGACAUGCAACUUACACAAAGCACAUCAUCAAAUUCGUAUGUGAAAGGAGCUUUCAAUGAUAUAAUUUUCACAUUAUGCAUGUCAUGUAGUAUUAAUUUUAUCAAUAGUCAAAGGCGGUUUUGAAAAUAUAUUAUUGCUCUAACAUUUAUUAUAGACACAAUAUAUAGUCUUUGUAGUUGUGAAAAUAUAUUAAAAGAAUUGCCUUUAAAAAAUAUAGUUUUGUUUUAGAACAAUGUGAGUAUACUUUACAAUGAUAUAUACAACACAACUGUGUAAAAUGCACUACAAAAUGGAACUAUGACGAAUAAAUAAGAUAAAAGUAUACUCUUUAUGACGGUAGCACUAAAAAUAAAUUAAAAACAAGUAUAAAAGUUUAGUAUAAAUUAUAUUUGUGUGAAUUUACUCAAGUUUAAAUAUUGAUUGAACUACCCUAAAUGUAAUAGUUAGCAUUUUUAACAAAGUGGUCGACUCAUUCAGAUCGAUGCGCUCUCUAGCAAUAGCCUUGAGAAAUACACACUUAUUUUAGAUCGAUGGUAAGCUUUUUUGAAUCUUAUUUACGGGUUUUUUUGGGCCCGCUCGUCUAUAUCUCCGCCUCACAGGUUCUCGCCUCCCGCAUCUGGGCACAACAGGGCACCCUCUACGUAGUUGUCGACGUCGUUUGCCUUUUUAUCCCGAGGUACCCCCAAUCCUAGCCCCUCCCCUUUAAAUCUUCGGCUGUUCUUGAACCAUUCGGGAUUUACGGGAUUCGGAUAAUCAACGAGCAUUGGGCGCCGCGACAGCAGUCUCCCGUUCGUCAUCGGUCAGCGAACCACAACCAUCGCCCCCUUCUAAUUAAGCAGCAGUUUCAUGAAACAUGCAAGGACAUAUACAAGAUCCAUUUUAUUUUAGCAAUGCACAUCAGUUGACUGAAACAUGUUUUACAUAGGACACAAGGACGAAUAAGAUCAUACAAAGAUUGAUCACGCCUUUGGUCCCAGUUCGUAGCACAACCGGGACUAAAAGUGUGGGCCUUUAGUUUCGAUUGCUUAGCCCCGGUUGCAGAGCCGGGACUAAAGGCCCUCUAGAAUCGGACUGAUGCCCUGUUUUCUACUAGUGUUGGUGUCUAAAACCAGGACCGAAGACAGACCUUUAGUCCCGGUUGGAGACACCAACUGGGACUAAAGGGUGUUGCUCCUAGCGCAACCCCUUUAGUCCCAUUUGGUGUCUCCAACCGAGACUAAAGGUCUCAUUCGAACCGGGAUUGGUGCCUGCCGAGCCCCGUCUGGCGUCCGAGCUGCUCGAACCGGGACUAAUGCUCACAUUAGUCCCGGUUUGUAACACGACCGGGUCUAUUGCUCCGAUCCUGCUAGAACCAAAGCCCUAUUUUCUACUAGUGCUAAUAUAUUUCAUUAUUAAUUUACUAUGUUCAUUUUGUGCUCUAUGAGUGAAGAUUAGGUAACAUUGGCUUCAGUUGUUUUGUUGUUUAGGCCAAUAGAGGUUUUUAUCUUCGUAUGUCAAUGUUAGGUUUUUAACCAGAUUUGCAUAGAUUUGUCAUUUGAUAAUUAUUGUUCACAUGUAUUCAUGUGUCGGCCUAAAUCAUAUGAUUCUGAUCAUUGUAUUACUGCUUCAACCUAUAUACUCACAGGAAUAAAAGUGGUUUGAAGAAUGAAGACACACAUGCUUGGCGACAUAUUGAAUAGGUUGCUUGGCUGCUCGGCUCACCCGAAGGAAGGUCAUGUGAUUAUACUUGAACAAUAUUCAAACAAUUGGACAAUGCAACUCAGGUUGGUGAAGAAGGAAACAUGGUAAGCUAGGGUGAGCCAGGUGACGUGCCUACCAAAGUGUAGACAAGUGGUGUUCGAUGGUGUGCAGUAUCGAAAAGGGAAUGAGAAGCUUUGUUGAUAAUAAUUACAAGUUUCGGCCCAUAAGCCAAAAAAGGGCAGUGUGGCCGGCCUGAGAGUAGGAGGGCCCCAAAUGCGAAAAUUGCACUAGUAAUCACUAUACUAUCUUAUAUUAGGUCCAAAAUAUCGUAAAUUGCUUUUGGACUUUAUGGAGGUCUCCAAAUACAAAAUUCAAAGUUCAUGAAAAUUCAUAUUUUUACAUUUCAAAAAAUUCUGAAAAAAUACAGGUAUAGAUGAAGGCAUAAUGUACAACUUUGUAAAUUUUUAUGACGAAAUACGUUAAAAUGAGGGUUGUGCAAAAAAAAAAAAAUUGGGUUUUUUUAACACAUGAUACUAUUCAUCCUCCUAGACCAUGAUUUUUUCGUUUUUGUACAGGUCGCAUUUCAAUGUAUUUCAUCCUAAAAUUUUACACACAUACACCUCACAUCGUUGUUUACUUGUACAAAAACAUUCAGAUUUAAAAAACUUUUUUUUUAAAUGGCCUCCAUGGAAGCCAAGAUCCAAAACGCUCUACUCUCCAAAAUAUUAUCAAUUACAUAAAAGAAUAGCCUUAAUUUUGACGAGACAAGUUCAUACCACAUAGUAACAGUGUAUACCACCCUUAUGUGCGAAAUUAUAAAUAUCCCCUUUAAGAUCAAACAGUUCCAUCGAAUUGAUAUGACUGUAUGUGUGAUAGCAUCUACGAUAAGAGGAAUAUCAAUGAACCCCAUUCUUGCAAUUUCUGAGGAUACCCUCUUUUAGCUACUAGGUCAAUUUCUUAAUUAAAGAUCCCUCUUACUAACUGGAAUAAAAGAAUUAGUAGAUUUUUUCAUCCCAAAAUAUGAAUGGUUUUGAACUUAUAAAUUUAAUGAUGUUGCUAUUGCCUGAUGGGCUUGCUGCAUGUUAUAAUAGUUAGAUUUCCAUGUUAACCUAAUGUGCAACUUUUCAUUGGAGAAAAUUUUAUGAGUUCUUGAAUACACCAACUUAAACCAAGUGCAUUCUAGAUGAGCAUAUGAAAUUACCAGAUUGUACACACAUACAAAAGAGUCGGCAAUAUUUUAUUCUUGAUUAUUACAAUAACGAUGUUGUUGUCAAUACAAGUACAAAGCAUACAAAUGAUGUCAACUUAUUACUGAAUCCAACUUGCAAGAAUAUUUGUUAUACACUCAAAGUUUCUAUAGACAUGCUUGCCCAGUAAUACACUACAAACCAUUAUUUUAACAUAUUUCUUAUAGUGUAUGAAUUAGAAAUUUGUACCCAUGAUAUUUAAUCAUAUUAAAGUACAUAUGAACACACCCAUACAUGCAAAUAUGUGUUUUUAAGUAUAUAAUUUGUGCAAUGUUAAAAUGAGUUCCUUACAUCGUAAAAUUUGCAUUUAAUAAAAGUAAAAAACAUUGCAUAUUACAAUUUUGUAACAACACACACUAUAACUACUCUAUAAAAACAUCAUUAUGUGGUGAACUAUGAUAUAUAGGCAAUAGAAUUUUUUUGCUCGGUAACUAUAUUAUGAUACUUUUUGUUACAAUAAUCUAGUAUGGUACGAUUAAAUUAAAUAAGCAUAAAAGUUUAGCAUGCAAAUAUUUAUUUUACUUUUCCCCCAUACAAAAAUUGCUUGGAUCAUCUCUAAGACAAAAAUAUUUAUUUUCUUAUUUUCCCGAUGGAGCCGCACCGACACACCCGAGAUAAUUCAAACAAGUACAACAUAAAUUAUUUUUCAUUCAUUGUCAACUCAGUGAUCGAAUCAUUCAGAUCGAUGCGCUCUCCGACCUCUAGCCAAAAAGCACAGGAUUCACUAGUAGAAAAAGGGUCAUCUGUCCCGGUUGGUAAGGGCCCUUUGUCCCGGUUUUUGAAACCGGGACUAAAGGAUCAUUACUAAUGCCCUAGCCCUUUAGUCCCGGUUCUUACACGAACCGGGACAGAUGGGCCUUUGGUCCCGAUUGGUGGCACCAACUGGGACCAAUAGGCAUCCACGCAUCAGCAUUUCAGGGGCUGGGGUUUUUGUUUUUUUUGAAGGGGGAGGGGUUGGAGGUUUUGGGGGUUUAAUUUAGGUGUUUCAUAUAUUGUGUUAGCUAGCUAAUUAAUAGAGAGAAGUGUCCUCUCUUAUGUCCGUGCUUGGUCGACGCUAUAUAUACAUAUAGAGAGGACUAGACAUGCUAGCUGGUAAGCAAAUGAAGGAAACAAAAGAUCGUCAUGAACAUAUGUAUACAGAGAGAAGUGAUAUCGACCACCUCUCCUCCGAGAGAUUGGUCGAACAACAAGUUCUCGUAUAUCUAUCUGACACUACCGGCUACAUAUAUACAAUAAUUAUCUCUUACAAUAUAAUCUCCUAAUUAUAUAUGAACACAGGGUCCACAUAGUAUUCUCCGUCUUCAGCGAUCACGUGGUCAAGGAAGAAUGCCGCCAAUUCCUCUUGAAUUGCUCGCAUACGAUCUGGUGGUAGGAGUUCAUCCCGCAUCCGAAAGAUCUAAUUUGAACAAGGGGGUUAAUACAUAUAUAAAUGAAUAAAUGAAACUCAACACAAAUGAUGGUAAUAAAAUAAAAUUGUGAAUAUUAUUGCUUACGCACUUCAUAUUGUUCGUCAGAGUACCCCCAUUCACAGGUCGUGUGGCGGAUGGACUCGCAAACGUAGUAUCCACAGAAAUCAUUCCCUUGUUCCUGCCACAAUCACUUUACAAGAAAUAGAGGUCAAUCAAACUAAUAAGCAAGCAUGCCAAAUGGUAUUGAUGAAACUAGCGCUUGAAUCACUAGGAGAUGCACAGAACAUGUUACUAUGGUACUUACUUUCGGGUGUCUAAAUUGCAGCUUCUUCGGCAGUUCCGGAGCUUUUUUGGUGAAUUUUCUCCAAACCCUGCCAGACAAAGAAAACAAUUACUUGAUAUCAGGAAAUGAACAAAGUUGCUGAUAUGGUGGAUAAUGAUCGAUUUAACUUACUUCUCGAGCAUUUGAGUCAUGUCCGCAUAGUCCUGGGGAUCUUUUCAUCUCGAGUCUAAGACGGUUACUAGUCCCUGCUCAAGCUUAAUCUCUAGGAGAAUAUAGUGGAAGCUGCGCACGCAUGCAUAACUCAUCAAUUACAUUACUAUAACCUGGACUAGUAAGGGAAACUGAAUAUGCACAAGACAGUAACACUCACUUGAAGUUGUAAGGAAAGAGUAUUGUAUCUUUGUUUUCAUUUAUUAUCAACGAUCGUAGCAAGUUGGCCUCGGUAUCUUCGGCAUGAUAUUUAACCUCAGUUGCAUCUAUGAGAUUUGUGUUAAUGAACCCAAUAUCACCGAUUUGUCUUUUCUUCAAUUCGGCGAUCUUCAAUCUGCAUAAUAUAGUGAGAAAAAUUAUAAAUACAUGCAAUGAAAGAGCUGACCUAUAUAGAGAGACUUAAUGACAGAAGUAGUACUACUUAGAGACAGUAGCAAGUGACCGUUGCUUUGUUGAGGGCCUUUUGAUUGAAAAACUGGAAGAACUCCUCAAAUGGAACAUUCAACAGUUCAAUUCCAACGAGGUCAUGAUCCUCUCUAACUCUCAGUGUCAAAGUAUCCCUCCCCCAGACUCUCUGCAAGUUUUCAUGUACCAAUCAUGGAAUCUUCGCAUCAUCGUUGUUAGAGAUCUUUCAUCUUUGACGGGAGGCUUCCCGUACUCGUAUUUGUGUUCCUCCACCUCCAAGAAAUCAUAAUGUACAUCGUCGGGCAGGUAAUCUCCAAGAUUGCUAUAACCGGGCACCAUCCUCGGAUCAUUAGCGACGAUGUUGCUAGACACCUUGAGCGGGGGGCACGAUUGGUUCGCUUGUUCGCCGAGCUGGGCAAUUUUUUUCCCAGCUCGCCGUUCUUUUAUCCUUUGAUCACUGCAGUAUUUCCCGACCGCUCCGCUUGGACAAAUGUCUUUGCAAUAAUGCACUCAUAGUUUCCUUUCAGCGGAGACUUUGGUGGUUUUGUCAGGGCAGCCAGAGUGCGCUUUGCUUUCACCGGAUCUACCUUCUCCUCCGGAGGUGGAUGUUUCUUUGCUUUCACCCCUUGAAAGAAGUUCGUCACUUCGGCUUGCGCGGUCUUCGUGUUCUCCUCCGGGGUCCUCUCGUAUGGUAACUUCUCUGGAGUCUUCAGAGAAGGACCGAAUUUGUAUUGCCUCCCGUCUCUGGCUGUACUGCUAGACGCCGGCAGAGCAGACGGAGCGGCUGCAGCUGUCUUCUCUCCUUGCUUACGAGGCGGAGGAGAAGGACUACGACGCACCGGAGCGACCGGAGAGGCGGGGGGUCUCUUCCGCCCUUGCUGGCGAGGCGGAGAAGGAGGAGGCUGGUUGCUCGGGUGCGCCGGCGCAGGCGGAGAAGGACGCGGAGUGCCGCCACGCGCCGGAGAAGGAGGCUGAGUGCCCUAAUCACUCGCCGGAGGAGGAGGCGGAGGAGGAGGCGGAGUGCCCUUCAAGCCGGAGGAGGAGGAGGAGGCGAAGGCGUCCAGUUCGAAAGGUUGAUGAGCUCCUUCCGCCAUAGGCAUGGAGUCUUCAGAGCAGAACCCAGCCGAGUCUCCCCUUCACCGGUAGGGUGGUCAAGCUGGAGGUCCUCAAAUCCCUCCGUUAUUUCGUCCACCGUCACCCUGGCAUAUCCUUAUGGAAUCAGACGACAAUGAAAAGUUGCGCUGGGUUCAGGAGGUCGAACAGAGCCGACAGCCGCCUUGACUUUGAAGUUCUGCCAUUGCGUCAUAAGGUGGCAAUGUUGAGACUCCGUGAUAGCAUCCACGGGGUAGCUAGCAGGAGCCGUCAAGACAUGAUCCGGCUAAAGCAGCUCGGUGGAAGCCAUGCUGCUUCUCCGCUGAGAUGGCGGGGUAGCUUCGGGGGUAGUUUAGGAAGGUCGCUUGCUGCGAGCUACUUCUCGUUCCUCCAGCGCUUGAACCCUUUCGUGCAGUGUCUGAAUUUGGGCCUGCUCCACUUUUUUCCUCCUCUCCUGGCAUUUGUAACCACCCGCGUCCGGAAAACCAGCCUUCCACGGAACGGAGCCUGGCGUGCCUCAUGUCCGUCCAGGAUGCUCAGGAUUCCCGAGGGCCAUUGUGAGCUCGUCGUUCUCUCUGUCUAUAACGAACGUCCCUUGCUGCGCUGCAUCGAUAUAGUGCUUAAGCCUCUUGACUGGUAUUCUCAUGUGCUCGUCCGUCGAAACGCACUUCCCUGAUACAGGGUCCAAGGUUCCGCCAGCCUCGAAGAACCAAGUCCGGCAACGGUCUGGCCAGUUCAUUGUAUCUGGUUCGAUCCCUUUAUCAAGCAGAUCAUUCUCAGCCUUGGCCCACUUAGGCCGGGCUUUGAGGUAGCCACCUGACCCCGUGCGAUGGUGAAGCUUUUUCUUCGCAGCAUUUUUCUUGUUUGUCGCCGACAUCUUCUUACUCUUUUCCGAUGUCUUGUGGGCCACAAAUGCGGGCCAGUGAUCUCUGAUCUUCUCAUAUUUGCCGAUGAAUUCUGGUGUCUCUUCUUUGUCGACAAACAUUUUCAGCUCAUUCUUCCACCUCCUGAAUAGGUCUGCCAUCUUCUUAAGAGCAUCAGACUUGAUUAAUUGCUCUUUAACUGGCUUCUCCGGAUCCUCCUCUAGCGGUAGGGUGAAAUUUGCCUUCAGCUCAGUCCAAAGAUCAUCUUUCUGCAUAUCAUUGACACAAGACACCUCAGGGUCUUCGUUCUAGGCUUAUACCAUUGGUGGAUGCUAAUUGGGAUCUUGUUCCUAACAAGAACCCCGCACUGAGCAGCAAAUGCUUCCUUUGUCCGGAUGGGUUCAAUCGGUUGGCCGUCGCGCGCGAUUGCUGUGAUCUCAAACCUUUCAUCCGAGCACAACUUUUUCUUCAGGCCUCAUCUCUUUACUGAAGUUGUGUUCGAUCCGGAGGGCUAGAAAAAAUAAGAAACACGAGAUUUAAUUAAUAUGUGUACAUACCAAAACAUUGAAUGCAUCAAUUAGCUAGUCAACAUAUGCUUAACUAAUAUAUUUACCUGGCCGGACUCUGUUCGGUCACCGGAGCCGUCACCACGGGCUCCUUCUUGCACCAGCAUUGGGUCACCGGAGCCAUCAUAAUCAUGUCUUUCCUCCUCCAUUAUUCGAUCACCGUAGCCUGCUUCUUCACCCUGUUCUUCCAGACCAUCAUUGUCGUUAAGAUACGACAAGACAUCACCUCCGUCUAAGAUUAUGUCCCCCAACACCUCUUCUGCUUCAUCGUCUCGUCCGUGCUCCAUUGUUUCUGCAAAUAUUACAACAUGGCAAUUAUUACACAAACAUGACAGCAUGUGGAUAUAUUAGUGGCAAACGUAGACCUAUCUUAUUCCGGGUUUGGGUGGCCUCAACAAUGCUUCAAGGAUAGGGGCGCGGCGGGAGGGGGUAGGAGACCGACAUCGUUUUUUUUCUAGGGUUUGGGUGUCCUCGAGAGUUUUGGUCGAGCGAGAGGGCCAGGGGGUGCUCCCGUGGUAUAAGUUAUCAUUGUCGAAGUUAUCCGAGAGGGGGUUAUAUCGACAACGACGACAUACAUACAUGGGAAAAUAAUGUUAUCGGGAAGGGGGGUAGGUCGACCCCCCCUCGUGUUGAAGUUAUCGGGACACGGGGUAUAUCGGCAAUGACAUAUCCGAUAAAAAAUAAGAAGACGAAGAAGAAAUAAAAAGAGGAGAAGAUUGAAGAAAAAAAGAAGAAAAAAAGAGGAGAAGAAGAAAGGAAUAGAGGAGAAGAAGAUCUCUUCUUCUCCUCUAUUCCUUUCUGUUGGGUUACGUAGUAAUUUCAAAAAAUUUCCUACGCUCACGCAAGAUCAUGUGAUGUAUAGAAACGAGAGGGGAGAGUGUUGUCUACGUACCCACGCAGACCGACUGCGGAAGCGUUGACGCAACAUAGAGGAAGUAGUCGUACGUCUUCACGAUCCAACCGAUCAAGCACCAAAACUACGGCACCUCCGAGUUCGAGCACACGUUCAGCUCGAUGACGAUCCCCGGACUCCGAUCUAGCAAAGUGUCGGGGAAGAGUUCCGUCAGCACGACGGCGUGGUGACGAUCUUGAUGCACUACAGCAGCAGGGCUUCGCCUAAACUCCGCUACAGUCUUAUCGAGGAAUAUGGUGGCUGGGGGCACCGCACACGGCUAAGGAAUAGAUCACGUGGAUCAACUUGUGUGUUUCUGGGGUGCCUCUGCCUCAGUAUAUAAAGGACUAGAGGGGGAAGGCUGGCCGGCCAUAGGAGGCGCGCCAGGAGAGUCCUACUCCCUCUGGGAGUAGGAUUCCCCCCCCCCCAAUCCUAGUUGGAAUAGGAUUCGCGGAGGGGGGAAAGAGAGAGAGGGGGCCGGCCACCUCUCCUAGUCCUAAUAGGACUAGGGGAAGGGGGGAGGCGCACAGCCACCUUGGGCUGCCCCUUUCUCCUUUCCACUAAAGCCCACUAAGGCCCAUAUAGCUCCCGGGGGUUCCGGUAAUCUCCCGGUACUUCGGUAAAAUCCCGAUUUCACCAGGAACACUUCCGAUAUCCAAACAUAGGCUUCCAAUAUAUCAAUCUUUAUGUCUCGACCAUUUCAAGACUCCUCGUCAUGUCCGUGAUCAUAUCCGGGACUCCGAACAACCUUCGGUACAUCAAAAUGCAUAAACUCAUAAUAUAACUAUCAUCGUAACCUUAAGCGUGUGGACCCUAUGGGUUCGAGAACAAUGUAGACAUGACCGAGACACGUCUCCGGUCAAUAACCAAUAGCGGGACCUGGAUGCCCAUAUUGGCUCCUACAUAUUCUACGAAGAUCUUUAUCGGUCAGACCGCAUAACAACAUACGUUGUUCCCUUUGUCAUCGGUAUGUUACUUGCCCGAGAUUCGAUCAUCGGUAUUCCAAUACCUAGUUCAAUCUCAUUACCGGCAAGUCUCUUUACUCGUUCCGUAAUACAUCAUCUCACAACUAACUCAUUAGUUGCAAUGCUUGCAAGGCUUAUGCGAUGUGCAUUACCGAGAGGGCCCAGAGAUACCUCUCCGACAAUCGGAGCGACAAAUCCUAAUCUCGAAAUACGCCAACCCAACAUCUACCUUUGGAGACACCUGUAAUGCUCCUUUAUAAUCACCCAGUUACGUUGUGAUGUUUGGUAGCACCCAAAGUGUUCUCCGGUAAACGGGAGUUGCAUAAUCUCAUAGUCAUAGGAACAUGUAUAAGUCAUGAAGAAAGCAAUACCAACAUACUAAACGAUCGGGUGCUAAGCUAAUGGAAUGGGUCAUGUCAAUCAGAUCAUUCAACUAAUGAUGUGACCUCGUUAAUCAAAUAACAACACUUUGUUCAUGGUUAGGAAACAUAACCAUCUUUGAUUAACGAGCUAGUCAAGUAGAGGCAUACUAGUGACACUAAGUUUGUCUAUGUAUUCACACAUGUAUUAUGUUUCCGGUUAAUACAAUUCUAGCAUGAAUAAUAAACAUUUAUCAUGAUAUAAGGAAAUAAAUAAUAACUUUAUUAUUGCCUCUAGGGCAUAUUUCCUUCACUUUCUUCUUCUCCUCUUCUUUUUCUUCUUUUUUCUUCUUCUUAUUUAUUUCUCCUCUUCUUCCUCUCCUCUUCUUCUCAUUUCUUCCUCUUCUUAUUUUCCUUUUUCCUCUCAUUCUUUUUCUUCUUUUUCCUUCUUAAUAUCACUUAGCAACUUUUGCAACGAUAGGAAAUGUUCAAAUAGAAAAUUUAGAAAAAAAGUAAAUGUUUUGCCUAAUGCAUUGCUCAUAUGAAUAUACAAACAUUUGCAUAUUCUACAAUAAUUAAUAUCACCAAAAAAAUCUAUGAACAGAAAAAAAUCCUAACUUUUCUAAAAAUCUAUCUUUUGCAUAUAUACACAGAGAACAUAUACAUACAUAUAUACAUUUUUUUGCAUACAUGAACAUACAUGAACGUACGGGGUCACCAAGGUAGAGUUCUGUAGAAGUGUGUAGUGUUCUUGAGACCAAGAAUAUCCGUCCCUGCAUAUUAUUGAGUCCCCUCCAAGCGUGCCUUUUCCAGUCAGUCUCCCCUCAUACCGUGAUUUAGGGAGACCUAUCUUCUUAAGGCCAGGAAUGAACUCAAAACAAAACCCAAUGACAUCCUCUGUUUGAUGGCCCAUGGAGAUGCUUCCUUCUGGCCUAGCGCGGUUACAGACAUAUUUCUUUAGGACUCCCAUGAACCUCUCAGAGGGGAACAUAUUGUGUAGAAACACGGGCCCCAGAAUGACAAUCUCGUCGACUAGAUGAACUAGGACGUGUGUCAUGAUAUUGAAGAAGGAUGGUGGGAACACCAGCUCGAAACUGAUAAGAUAUUGCACCACAUCACUCCUUAGCCUUGGUACGAUUUCUGGAUCGAUCACCUUCUAAGAGAUUGCAUUGAGGAAUGCUCAUAGCUUCACAAUGGCUAAUCAGACGUUUUCCGAUAGAAGCCCCCUCAAUGCAACCGGAAGUAGUUGCGUCAUAAUCACGUGGCAGUCAUGAGACUUUAGGUUCUGGAACUUUUUCUCUGGCAUAUUUAUUAUUCCCUUUAUAUUCGACGAGAAGCCAGUCGGGACCUUCAUACUGAGCAGGCAUUCAAAGAAGAUUUCUUUCUCUUCUUUCGUAAGAGCGUAGCUGGCAGGACCUUCAUACUGCUUCGGAGGCAUGCCGUCUUUUUCGUGCAAACGUUGCAGGUCCUCCCGUGUCUCAGGUGUAUCUUUUGUCUUCCCAUACACGCCCAAGAAGCGUAGAAGGUUCAUGCAAAGGUUCUUCGUCACGUGCAUCAUGUCGAUUGAAGAGCAGACCUCUCGGUCUUUCCAGUAGGGUAGGUACCAAAAUAUAGAUUUCUUCUUCCACAUGGGUGCGUGUUCCUCAGCGUCAUUCGGAACAGCUAGUCCGCCGGGACCCUUUCCAAAGAUUACGUGUAAAUCAUUGACCAUAGCAAGUACGUGAUCACCGAUACACAUGGCGGGCUUCUUCCGGUGAUCUGCCUCGCCUUUGAAAUGCUUGCCUUUCUUUCGACAUUGAUGGUUGGUCAGAAGAAAUCGACGAUGGCCCAGGUACACAUUCUUCCUGCAUUUGUCUAGGUAUAUACUUUCAGUUUCAUCUAAACAGUGCGUGCAUGCGUGGUAUCCCUUGUUUGUCUGUCCUGAAAGGUUACUGAGAGUGGGCCAAUCAUUAAUGGUUACAAACAGCAACGCGUGCAGGUUAAAUUCCUCCUGUUUGUGCUCAUCCCACGUACGUACACCGUUUCCAUUCCACAGCUAUAAAAGUUCUUCAACUAAUGGCCUUAGGUACACAUCAAUGUCGUUGCCGGGUUGCUUAGGGCCUUGGAUGAGAACUGGCAUCAUAAUGAACUUCCGCUUCAUGCACAUCCAAGAAGGAAGGUUAUACAUACAUAGAGUCAUGGGCUAGGUGCUGUGAUUGCUGCUCUGCUCCCCGAAAGGAUUAAUACCAUCCACGCUUAAACCAAACCAUACGUUCCUUGGGUCACUGUGACGCCCCCGAUUCAAUCGUACACUAAUCAUGCACGCAAAUGUGUACGAUCAAGAUCAGGGACUCACGGGAAGAUAUCACAACACAACUCUACAAAUAAAAUAAGUCAUACAAGCAUCAUAAUACAAGCCAGGGGCCUCGAGGGCUCGAAUACAAGUGCUCGAUCAUAGACGAGUCAGCGGAAGCAACAAUAUCUGAGUACAGACAUAAGUUAAACAAGUUGCCUUAAGAAGGCCAGCACAAACUGGGAUACAGAACGAAAGAGGCGCAGGCCUCCUGCCUGGGAUCCUCCUAACUAUUCCAGGUCGUCGUCAGCGGCCUGCACGUAGUAGUAGGCACCUCCAGUGUAGUAGGAAUCAUCGUCGACGGUGGCGUCUGGCUCCAGGGCUCCAGCAUCUGGUUGCGACAACCAGGUAGAAGGGAAAGGGGAAAAGAGGGAGAAAAGCAACCGUGAGUACUCAUCCAAAGUACUCGCAAGCAAGGAACUACACUACAUAUGCAUGGGUAUAUGUGUAAGGAGGCCAUAUCAGUGGACUGAACUGCAGAAUGCCAGAAUAAGAGGGGGAUAGCUAAUCCUGUCGAAGACUACGCUUCUGGCAGCCUCCGUCUUGCAGCAUAUAGAAGAGAAUAGAUUGUAGUCCUCCAAGUAGCAUCCUCAAGUAGCAUCUCCAAGUAGCAUCUCAUAGUAUAAUCCUACCCGGCGAUCCUCUCCUCGUUGCCCUGCGGAAAAGCGAUCACCGGGUUGUCUGUGGAACUUGGAAGGGUGUGUUUUAUUAAGUAUCCGGUUCUAGUUGUCAUAAGGUCAAGGUACAACUCCAAGUCGUCCUGUUACCGAAGAUCACGGCUAUUCGAAUAGAUUAACUUCCCUGCAGGGGUGCACCACAUAGCCCAACACGCUCGAUCCCAUUUGGCCGGACACACUUUCCUGGGUCAUGCCCGGCCUCGGAAGAUCAACACGUCGCAGCCCCACCUAGGCACAACAGAGAGGCCAGCACGCCGGUCUAAACCUAAGCGCACAGGGGUCUGGGCCCAUCGCCCAUAGCACACCUGCACGUUGCGUGGGCGGCCGGAAGCAGAACUAGCCCCCUUAAUACAAGAGCAGGCUUACGUUCCAAUCCAGCGCGCGCCGCUCCGUCGCUGACGUCUGAAGUGCUUCGGCUGAUACCACGACGUCGGGAUACCCAUAACUACUCCCACGUAGAUGGUUAGUGCGUAUAGGCUCGUAGCCAGACUCAGAUCAAAUACCAAGAUCUCGUUAAGCGUGUUAAGUAUCCGCGAACGCCGAACAGGGCCAGGCCCACCUGUCUCCUAGGUGGUCUCAACCUGCCCUGUCGCUCCGCCACAAAGUAACAGUCGAGGGCCGUCGGGAACCCAGGCCCACCUCUACCGGGAUGGAACCACCUGCCCCUUCAGCCCCCAACUCCGAACAGUAUCACAGGUAAUGUAACAGUGUAAAGUAUAUAGUAUAUGCCCGUGAUCACCUCCCGAAGUGAUCACAGCCCAGUAGUAUAGCAUGGCAGACUGACAAGAAUGUAGGGCCAAUGAUGAUAAACUAGCAUCCUAUACUAAGCAUUUAGGAUUGCAGGUAAGGUAUCAACAGAUGUAGCGACAAUGUCAGGCUAUGCAUCAGAAUAGGAUUAACGAAAGCAGUAACAUGCUACACUACUCUAAUGCAAGCAGUAUAGAGGAGAAUAGGCGAUAUCUGGUGAUCAAGGGGGGGGGGCUUGCCUGGUUGCUCAGACAAGGAGGGGUCGUCGGUGACGUAGUCGUACUCGGUGGCAUCAGCGUCGGUCUCGUAGUCUACCGGAGAGAAGAGGGGGAAGAAAUAAUGAAUACAGAGCAAACAAAGCAUCACAAAAUAUAACAAGGCAAUACGCGGUGUUCGGUGUGCCCUAACACGGUAGUAGGUGAUACCGGUGAAGGGGGGAAAACCCCCGGGAAAGUAUUCCCGGUGUUUCGUGUUUUCGGGCAGAGGAGCCGGAGGGGGAAAGUUGCGGGUUCGAUAGGUUAGGGGUGUGUGGCGGACGAACGGACCGCGUAUCCGGAUUCGUCUCGUCGUUCUGAACAACUUUCAUGUUGAAAACAUUUUAAUCCGAGUUACGGAUUAAAAGAUAUGAUUUUCUAAAGAUUUUAUUAAUUUCUGAAAUUUAAUUAUUUAUUUAAUUAAUUCGAAAAAAUGUAUUAAUGACGUCAGCAUGAUGUCAUGCUGACGUCAGCAGUCAACAGGGGUUGGCUGAGUCAACCCUGACAUGUGGGUCCCGUUCGUCAUUGACUGUUUAGUCAAAUUAAUGUUUAGCUAAUCUAAUCACUGUUUAAUUAAACUAAUUAGUUAAUUAGGUUAAUCUAAUUAUGAUUAAUUAACUUAAUUAAUUCCUUAAUUAAUUAAUUAGUUUAAUUAUUAUUUAUUUAUUUAAUAUCUUUUUUUAAUUCUUUUUUUUUCUUUUUCUUUUUUUUUAUAAAACCGCUCUGGGGCUGGGGUGUGGGACCCCACAUGUCAUAGGCCUAAGUGCCUUAGCGGGCGCACGGUUACGGGCGCCGGGUGGGUCGGGCGACGAGCGCCAGCCCGACGAGGCGCCGCGGGGCAGCGGGCGUGCGGCCUGGCUCCGACGACCGGAGCAGGGCGGCGCGGUUGGCUGAGAGGAUCGCCGCAGCGGACGGCUGACGUAGCGGGAGUGGGAUGAGGCGUCGGANNNNNNNNNNNNNNNNNNNNNNNNNNNNNNNNNNNNNNNNNNNNNNNNNNNNNNNNNNNNNNNNNNNNNNNNNNNNNNNNNNNNNNNNNNNNNNNNNNNNNNNNNNNNNNNNNNNNNNNNNNNNNNNNNNNNNNNNNNNNNNNNNNNNNNNNNNNNNNNNNNNNNNNNNNNNNNNNNNNNNNNNNNNNNNNNNNNNNNNNNNNNNNNNNNNNNNNNNNNNNNNNNNNNNNNNNNNNNNNNNNNNNNNNNNNNNNNNNNNNNNNNNNNNNNNNNNNNNNNNNNNNNNNNNNNNNNNNNNNNNNNNNNNNNNNNNNNNNNNNNNNNNNNNNNNNNNNNNNNNNNNNNNNNNNNNNNNNNNNNNNNNNNNNNNNNNNNNNNNNNNNNNNNNNNNNNNNNNNNNNNNNNNNNNNNNNNNNNNNNNNNNNNNNNNNNNNNNNNNNNNNNNNNNNNNNNNNNNNNNNNNNNNNNNNNNNNNNNNNNNNNNNNNNNNNNNNNNNNNNNNNNNNNNNNNNNNNNNNNNNNNNNNNNNNNNNNNNNNNNNUUUCUCUCCUCGCCCCUUUUUUUUGUUUCAUUUCAUUUCUGUUUUUAUUUAUUCGUUCCUGUUUUAUCUUAGUUACAUUUUAUUCUAGUUUUAGUAAAAUAUACACUUAGCAUCUAAAUUAGUAUCUCAACUUAAGUCCAUAGUCACAAAAGUCUAGUCCCCAAAUAGCUUAGUUUGAAAUUUUAUUAACUAUAAAAGGUAUUUAAAUAUUCGUUUUUGCUACUGUUUUAAUUAAUAUAGUGCACUUAAAUACUUUACAGAAGUGUGGUUCCUUCAGCAAUAUUUAGUAUGGAAUAUUUGCCACAACCCGAACAUUUUUGUUUUAUUGUUUUGAAAACUUUUGUUGUGUGUUUUUAUUUUAAAUUUUGAACUGGGUCUCAUACUGACGCGAGUUUAUCAACAGUAACCGAGGGGACGUGGCAUCAUUAGCGAUGGUUCACUGUAGCUUAACUAUCCGGGCGUCACAAUUCUCCUCCACUACAAGAAAUCUCGUCCCGAGAUUUAAGAGGGGUCUAAGGGGGAAACAUUUGGUUACGAAAUUCUAACAAAGCUUCUCGGUCUUGGUUGCUCCUCUCAAAGUGGUCGAUCCAUUAUAUUGAUGUCUUCAUUUUUCUGCUUCAGGUCAUCAAGAUGAAGUCGAUAUCCUUUCUUUGGGGGUUCCAUCGUACUUACGAAAGAAUAAGGGGGUGGGCAUACAGGGAGAACGAACCUCUGCAAGGUUAACUAUCUGGUCGAUAAUAUCGGGGAAGGUGGCGGAAAGUAACCCUCGAAUUGAAACUUAACGAAUUAUCAAGAGCAAAGUAAGAAAGUACCACGAGAAGUUCCAAGCGGGUAGGUAAUCGUUCGAUGCCUGUUACAAGGCGUGAAAGGGGUUCAGAGCAACGGGAAUAAGCAUUGCGUCUGAUACCAGAAUAGAUCACUAGGAAGGUGGCUCGUGAUCUUUCAUACGAAGCCAAGCGUGCGGGUUAGCUUUAGGAACAGGGGUGCAGGAGAUUCAGGUUUUGAUCCUGUGGAACUGUGGGUUAUGGGCCCACCAUGUGGGUUAAACGUUGAGAGAGCGGUGACAUCUUGCACGGUUAUGACAGCAAGGCAUGCCAGAGAAUAACCUGUCAGUUAUGUCGGUAACAACGUCGAUACCAAGGGCGAGGGACGAAGAGAACCAUUUUCCUGCUCGUUGAACGAGGCGGACCAAUAGGCAAAGUUCUCGUCCAUCGGCGGCUACCGGAAUGUCAUCAACAAUAGUAUCAGGGUUACACCAGACAAGAUGGUACACCGAGGUGUUUACUUGAGCAGGGAUAUUACUGCUUAUAUUAUAUAGAUCACAAUAAGGUUUAAACAAACCAAUGGAAGGAAAAUAUGAUCAUCAGAUUAAACAGAACAAUGGAAAGGAAAAUAUGUUUAAACACAUAUUUCGAGGGUAUAUCCUUCCCAAGGACAAGCAAAGCAAGAUAUCCAUGACAGGAUAUAAAGUAGAAAACCAUUUAGGAAAGGGGGGAGGAAUCUCAUGAUAUUACUCAUACAACGGUGUUAGGAUAAUUGAUAAUUAAAAUAUAGCAUCGUGCUUCAAACGUGCCUGUUGAAAAUCGGAGUACCAUUGACAUGCUUCGAGAUAGCAGUGACAUGGUCUUCAGGUGAAGAUCNNNNNNNNNNNNNNNNNNNNNNNNNNNNNNNNNNNNNNNNNNNNNNNNNNNNNNNNNNNNNNNNNNNNNNNNNNNNNNNNNNNNNNNNNNNNNNNNNNNNNNNNNNNNNNNNNNNNNNNNNNNNNNNNNNNNNNNNNNNNNNNNNNNNNNNNNNNNNNNNNNNNNNNNNNNNNNNNNNNNNNNNNNNNNNNNNNNNNNNNNNNNNNNNNNNNNNNNNNNNNNNNNNNNNNNNNNNNNNNNNNNNNNNNNNNNNNNNNNNNNNNNNNNNNNNNNNNNNNNNNNNNNNNNNNNNNNNNNNNNNNNNNNNNNNNNNNNNNNNNNNNNNNNNNNNNNNNNNNNNNNNNNNNNNNNNNNNNNNNNNNNNNNNNNNNNNNNNNNNNNNNNNNNNNNNNNNNNNNNNNNNNNNNNNNNNNNNNNNNNNNNNNNNNNNNNNNNNNNNNNNNNNNNNNNNNNNNNNNNNNNNNNNNNNNNNNNNNNNNNNNNNNNNNNNNNNNNNNNNNNNNNNNNNNNNNNNNNNNNNNNNGAAUAAGUCUUACAAUUUCCUCAUGGAUGAAUGGAUAACCUUGCUGAAAAGGAAUCUAUAAUGAUAGGUCCUCCAGCCGGGGGGGGGGGUGCUAGGCAUGACAUCAUGUUACCGGGUCAUCAAAGGAUCAACGUCAUAACUCUUGGAAAGUUGUCCCAACCAUCAUACCUGACCGAGAUUCAGAUCCGAUUGGUGUCAGGAUACCUGAGACUCAGGAUGUCCGAGAAGAAAAGGCGCAACACAAAUCGUUGAAAUGGCAUUGCAAGCUUCUCAGGAAAUGAACUAUGGGAGCGGGUUUCUAAAGCAAUAGUUCACCAUUAAACCAAGGAGAGGACAAGGAGGCGUCUGGUGAACUCAACGGCAAUUCACCGAUAUUCCCAAAAGAUGGAUUUCCACCAUUAGGUGAACAAGGAGAUAACAUUGUCAGAUCAAAAGAUAUAAGGAAGUAUGCUCGAGGAAAACAUACACAAUUAAACAUUGGUUGAAAGGUGCGCCCGAAAUGUGGAUUGGGUUGCACGACCAAUGUCAGAAUGGUGAUUUAAUUAGCGAAGGACUUAGAAUGAACUAUCGAUCAUUAACUUCAAAGCAAUAGGGUUGCUAGAAGUGCAUAAUCCAAACAACACCGUUCACUUGUGGGUACCCCGGUUGGAAUCAACACGAGGACCAAGAAAGAAUGGUGAUGGUGAGAAGUAUCAUUAUAGCAAGAAUUCUUAAGAGGUGGAGCAAUCCUCACAACAUUCUUAACAUGAAAGAUGGUAAUACUCGGCGGUAGAAUAUAACAUAAGUUGGAUAGCAAGGAACUCAAGGUAUAACAACAAACAUGAACAAGCUUGUGUUGGUGGGAAGGCAAUAAAGUGGUCGAUGAUAAUACAAUUCAUCGAGGCAAGGAUGGUAUUUCUUAUCAUGAAUACAAUUGAUAUCCUGGAUGAGCUCAGAAUGUUGACGAUCACGACACCUUUGUCGCGAGAGUUCAUGAAGAUGUAAUCGAUCGGCGACGACAUCAAGUCAAAGUAAUGAUGAAGUGAAAGGUUAUUGGAACCAAGGGUAUGACACAAACUCGAAACCAAGCUGGUUGUUUAAGGUGAAAGGGUAUGACGAGGAAAAUCGACGUAAGCUUAGCUAUCGUCGCAAAUUGGUGCUCCGAGAAUAAGGACCAGGUAGCACAGGUAGAAUCGUCACGACAAUGAUAUAGCCAAACAGGCUAGGAAUGGCGUGAUCGGGUACAAACUCGUACUUAUAGAAGCUUACUGAAGAGUUGUUGAACCGAAGAGCGGACUUAGUUCAGUUAUCGGUGUCUUUGAGUGUUCAAUAACUCAGAGCCCGCGAAAAAUUGGAAUCGGUGGGAAGGUAGCACUUGAUGAAGAACUCAUAAAAAGUUAUGCAGUUCCAUGAUAAUCUCGAGAUACCAGGGGGGUAAUACUCAACACAAGAUCAAAGUAAAGGUUGGACUGGUCUAUUGAUCCAUAGAAGACAAUUGUUUUAACUUGUCCGAGAAAUGAGAUCAAAGAAGAACAAUCAUGGUCGGAACCACGGUUGCAAAAAGGCCAGAUCUCAGAUAUAAGAUGAACUUAUACCAAGGGAAUAAUUGAUUUUAAAAGAAGCUUCGAUGAGAAGAUGUACAUCGUGUCCAUGGGCAUGAACGCAAAGUUCAAGGUCGACUCCCACUUCUCCAAUGCAUAACCUUUCAUUCACUUCUCACAUUCGAUGAAGUUGCAGUGUUGAAAUUUUAUCUGGUGAAGCACCAGAAGAGUAUGACUCGUGAAAACUUUCGGGUUCACACGGUUUAGAGAAGGCAUAUGUUCAACCCAUAGGGGCUUCUUAGAAACAUAUACCACAAGUUUCAAGAGUAAAUAACACAAGCCCGAAAGCAGAGCAUGGUUGGCCAAGCAGAGGAUACAACUUAACAAGGGCAUUAUGUAUCAGGGGAAGAACUCACAAGGUGAUCAAAUGUGAAGGACACUAUCGGAUAACAAUCCAACAAAGGACUUGAUGGUCCACAAAGGAUCUGAUACGAGUAUCGGUACUCAACUAGAGGAAGAAGAAUGCAAGGAGAUCAGAUUAUAGAAACAACUGACUAACUCAAUUGUCAAAUGCAAAGGAAUUUUGAUUUCCAAUUCAAGGGAUCAGAAGCAAUGCUCUGAUUAGGGAUGGAUAAGUUGAAUAACCUUACGGUACAAUCAAUGACAAUUGGAUUGGUCGAGAACCAAUUCCAGUUAAAAGAAUGGCAGCUUAGCCGGAGAAGUAAUUUAUAAGGAUCAAUGAUGAUUGCGUGCAUUCGCAAACAUAUUGAGUCAGCAGACUCAAAAUGAUAAUGACAAGGAAUGUCAUUAAGACUACGAGACUUAUGGGAUUAACCAUAAUGCGAGCAAGCAAGAAUUUCAAGAGCCAAAGGCUCCAGAGGAUUUUCGGAAGAUCGAAUAGUAUUUUGAAGACUUUUGUGAAACUCAUGAACAACUGGGGAUGAGCGGAUACUCGGCAAGCGCGAGUAAUUAUCCGUAGGGGUAUUCAUGCAGCAAGGAACUGCAGGGCAGUAAGUGCAAAGUAUUUUCGGAACAGUAAAGAAACUUCGGGGUAUCUUGUAAUAACAAGAUCAAUGGGGGAUGAUCGUAUGAAUGGCAAGUGUAAGUAGUUAUCCAUACGGAUUUAUCGGUGGUCAGGAAUAGCAAAAGUGAUGGGCACAAAGUCUCGAGAGCACAUCGUAGAGUAUCUUCGGAAUCUUCUGGUGCAGCAGGCGGUCAUCGGUAACAAGUGGCUCUCCGGGAGAAAGUACUUGCGAGAACCUAAAGUUAGUUUUGUUUUUUAGCAAAAAUCGUUUAACCCGAAUAGAAGAGGGUUCAGAAUCCCAGAGUAAAGGUCGAGGAAUAAAAGAUCCUAAUACCUCCCGAUGGCGACGUGGGCCCAUGGGCCACACAGCCAUGUUAGUAAAAGUUUUUCAACGACUAGACUCGACUUCGGCCAAGGAGUGUGGAAGGGGAUUUCCUACAGGCAGUCGGCUCUGAUACCAACUUGUGACGCCCCCGAUUCAAUCGUACACUAACCAUGCACGCAAAUAUGUACGAUCAAGAUCAGGGACUCACGGGAAGAUAUCACAACACAACUCUACAAAUAAAAUAAGUCAUACAAGCAUCAUAAUACAAGCCAGGGGCCUCGAGGGCUCGAAUACAAGUGCUCGAUCAUAGACGAGUCAGCGGAAGCAACAAUAUCUGAGUACAGACAUAAGUUAAACAAGUUGCCUUAAGAAGGCCAGCACAAACUGGGAUACAGAACGAAAGAGGCGCAGGCCUCCUGCCUGGGAUCCUCCUAACUACUCCAGGUCGUCGUCAGCGGCCUGCACGUAGUAGUAGGCACCUCCAGUGUAGUAGGAAUCAUCGUCGAUGGUGGCGUCUGGCUCCAGGGCUCCAGCAUCUGGUUGCGACAACCAGGUAGAAGGGAAAGGGGAAAAGAGGGAGAAAAGCAACCGUGAGUACUCAUCCAAAGUACUCGCAAGCAAGGAACUACACUACAUAUGCAUGGGUAUAUGUGUAAGGAGGCCAUAUCAGUGGACUGAACUGCAGAAUGCCAGAAUAAGAGGGGGAUAGCUAAUCCUGUCGAAGACUACGCUUCUGGCAGCCUCCGUCUUGCAGCAUAUAGAAGAGAAUAGAUUGUAGUCCUCCAAGUAGCAUCCUCAAGUAGCAUCUCCAAGUAGCAUCUCAUAGUAUAAUCCUACCCGGCGAUCCUCUCCUCGUCGCCCUGCGGAAAAGCGAUCACCGGGUUGUCUGUGGAACUUGGAAGGGUGUGUUUUAUUAAGUAUCCGGUUCUAGUUGUCAUAAGGUCAAGGUACAACUCCAAGUCGUCCUGUUACCGAAGAUCACGGCUAUUCGAAUAGAUUAACUUCCCUGCAGGGGUGCACCACAUAGCCCAACACGCUCGAUCCCAUUUGGCCGGACACACUUUCCUGGGUCAUGCCCGGCCUCGGAAGAUCAACACGUCGCAGCCCCACCUAGGCACAACAGAGAGGCCAGCACGCCGGUCUAAACCUAAGCGCACAGGGGUCUGGGCCCAUCGCCCAUAGCACACCUGCACGUUGCGUGGGCGGCCGGAAGCAGAACUAGCCCCCUUAAUACAAGAGCAGGCUUACGUUCCAAUCCAGCGCGCGCCGCUCCGUCGCUGACGUCUGAAGUGCUUCGGCUGAUACCACGACGUCGGGAUACCCAUAACUACUCCCACGUAGAUGGUUAGUGCGUAUAGGCUCGUAGCCAGACUCAGAUCAAAUACCAAGAUCUCGUUAAGCGUGUUAAGUAUCCGCGAACGCCGAACAGGGCCAGGCCCACCUGUCUCCUAGGUGGUCUCAACCUGCCCUGUCGCUCCGCCACAAAGUAACAGUCGAGGGCCGUCGGGAACCCAGGCCCACCUCUACCGGGAUGGAGCCACCUGUCCUUUCAGCCCCCUCGUCAGAAUCACUUGCGGGUACUCAAUGAGCUGACCCGACUUUAGUCACCAUCUGUAUAGUAUGUAUGUAUGUAUAGUAUAUACCCGUGAUCACCUCCCAAGUGAUCACGGCCCGAUAGUAUAGCAUGGCAGACUGACAAGAAUGUAGGGCCAAUGAUGAUAAACUAGCAUCCUAUACUAAGCAUUUAGGAUUGCAGGUAAGGUAUCAACAGAUGUAGCGACAAUGUCAGGCUAUGCAUCAGAAUAGGAUUAACGAAAGCAGUAACAUGCUACACUACUCUAAUGCAAGCAGUAUAGAGGAGAAUAGGCGAUAUCUGGUGAUCAAGGGGGGGGGGCUUGCCUGGUUGCUCAGACAAGGAGGGGUCGUCGGUGACGUAGUCGUACUCGGUGGCAUCAGCGUCGGUCUCGUAGUCUACCGGAGAGAAGAGGGGGAAGAAAUAAUGAAUACAGAGCAAACAAAGCAUCACAAAAUAUAACAAGGCAAUACGCGGUGUUCGGUGUGCCCUAACACGGUAGUAGGUGAUACCGGUGAAGGGGGGAAAACCCCCGGGAAAGUAUUCCCGGUGUUUCGUGUUUUCGGGCAAAGGAGCCGGAGGGGGAAAGUUGCGGGUUCGAUAGGUUAGGGGUGUGUGGCGGACGAACGGACCGCGUAUCCGGAUUCGUCUCGUCGUUCUGAACAACUUUCAUGUUGAAAACAUUUUAAUCCGAGUUACGGAUUAAAAGAUAUGAUUUUCUAAAGAUUUUAUUAAUUUCUGAAAUUUAAUUAUUUAUUUAAUUAAUUCGAAAAAAUGUAUCAAAGACGUCAGCAUGAUGUCAUGCUGACGUCAGCAGUCAACAGGGGUUGGCUGAGUCAACCCUGACAUGUGGGUCCCGUUCAUCAUUGACUGUUUAGUCAAAUUAAUGUUUAGCUAAUCUAAUCACUGUUUAAUUAAACUAAUUAGUUAAUUAGGUUAAUCUAAUUAUGAUUAAUUAACUUAAUUAAUUCCUUAAUUAAUUAAUUAGUUUAAUUAUUAUUUAUUUAUUUAAUAUCUUUUUUUUUAAUUCUUUUUUUUUCUUUUUCUUUUUUUUUAUAAAACCGCUCUGGGGCUGGGGUGUGGGACCCCACAUGUCAUAGGCCUAAGUGCCUUAGCGGGCGCACGGUUACGGGCGCCGGGUGGGUCGGGCGACGAGCGCCAGCCCGACGAGGCGCCGCGGGGCAGCGGGCGUGCGGCCUGGCUCCGACGACCGGAGCAGGGCGGCGCGGUUGGCUGAGAGGAUCGCCGCAGCGGACGGCUGACGUAGCGGGAGUGGGAUGAGGCGUCGGACGACGACGGCGCCCCGGGCAGACGCGGCCAGGAGCCGCAGGGCAGAGACGGCGGUGGGAGUCGGCAGCAGGGGCGACGGGCGUCGUGGCUACGGCUGGAUGGCGCGGGUCACGCGCGCGGGGGCGCNNNNNNNNNNNNNNNNNNNNNNNNNNNNNNNNNNNNNNNNNNNNNNNNNNNNNNNNNNNNNNNNNNNNNNNNNNNNNNNNNNNNNNNNNNNNNNNNNNNNNNNNNNNNNNNNNNNNNNNNNNNNNNNNNNNNNNNNNNNNNNNNNNNNNNNNNNNNNNNNNNNNNNNNNNNNNNNNNNNNNNNNNNNNNNNNNNNNNNNNNNNNNNNNNNNNNNNNNNNNNNNNNNNNNNNNNNNNNNNNNNNNNNNNNNNNNNNNNNNNNNNNNNNNNNNNNNNNNNNNNNNNNNNNNNNNNNNNNNNNNNNNNNNNNNNNNNNNNNNNNNNNNNNNNNNNNNNNNNNNNNNNNNNNNNNNNNNNNNNNNNNNNNNNNNNNNNNNNNNNNNNNNNNNNNNNNNNNNNNNNNNNNNNNNNNNNNNNNNNNNNNNNNNNNNNNNNNNNNNNNNNNNNNNNNNNNNNNNNNNNNNNNNNNNNNNNNNNNNNNNNNNNNNNNNNNNNNNNNNNNNNNNNNNNNNNNNNNNNNNNNNNNNNNNNNNNNNNNNNNNNNNNNNNNNNNNNNNNNNNNNNNNNNNNNNNNNNNNNNNNNNNNNNNNNNNNNNNNNNNNNNNNNNNNNNNNNNNNNNNNNNNNNNNNNNNNNNNNNNNNNNNNNNNNNNNNNNNNNNNNNNNNNNNNNNNNNNNNNNNNNNNNNNNNNNNNNNNNNNNNNNNNNNNNNNNNNNNNNNNNNNNNNNNNNNNNNNNNNNNNNNNNNNNNNNNNNNNNNNNNNNNNNNNNNNNNNNNNNNNNNNNNNNNNNNNNNNNNNNNNNNNUUUCUCUCCUCGCCCCUUUUUUUUGUUUCAUUUCAUUUCUGUUUUUAUUUAUUCGUUCCUGUUUUAUCUUAGUUACAUUUUAUUCUAGUUUUAGUAAAAUAUACACUUAGCAUCUAAAUUAGUAUCUCAACUUAAGUCCAUAGUCACAAAAGUCUAGUCCCCAAAUAGCUUAGUUUGAAAUUUUAUUAACUAUAAAAGGUAUUUAAAUAUUCGUUUUUGCUACUGUUUUAAUUAAUAUAGUGCACUUAAAUACUUUACAGAAGUGUGGUUCCUUCAGCAAUAUUUAGUAUGGAAUAUUUGCCACAACCCGAACAUUUUUGUUUUAUUGUUUUGAAAACUUUUGUUGUGUGUUUUUAUUUUAAAUUUUGAACUGGGUCUCAUACUGACGCGAGUUUAUCAACAGUAACCGAGGGGACGUGGCAUCAUUAGCGAUGGUUCACUGUAGCUUAACUAUCCGGGCGUCACAGUCACUUGCAAACUCAGGCCAGUACUUUCUCUCUAUUUUUCUCCACUUCGACCCGUCAGCGGGUGCUCUCAACUUCCCGUCUUUCUUACGGUCCUCACUGUGCCAUCGCAUCAACUUGGCAUGCUCUUCGUUUCUGAACAGAUGUUUCAACCGCGAUAUUAUAGGAGAAUACCACAUCACCUUCGCAGGAACCCUCUUCCUGGGGGGCUCGCUGUCAACAUCACCAGGGUCAUCUCGUCUGAUCUUAUACCGCAAUGCACCGCAUACCGGGCACGCGUUCAGAUACUUGUACGCACCGCGGUAGAAGAUGCAGUCAUUAGGGCAUGCAUGUAUCUUCUGCACCUCCAAUCCUAGAGGGCAUACAACCUUCUUUGCUGCGUAUGUACUAUCGGGCAAUUCGUUAUCCUUUGGAAGCUUCUUCUUCAAUAUUUUCAGUAGCUUCUCAAAUCCUUUGUCAGGCACAGCAUUCUCGGCCUUCCACUGCAACAAUUCCAGUACGGUACCGAGCUUUGUGUUGCCAUCUUCGCAAUUGGGGUACAGCCCUUUUUUGUGAUCCUCUAACAUGCGAUCGAACUUCAGCUUCUCCUUUUGACUUUCGCAUUGCGUCCUUGCAUCGACAAUGACCCGGCGGAGAUCAUCAUCAUCGGGCACAUCGUCUGGUUCCUCAUGAUCUUCAGCAGCUUCCCCCGUUGCAGCAUCAUUGGGCACAUCGUCUGGUUCCUCUUGAUCUUCAGCAGCUUCCCCCGUUGCAGCAUCACCGUAUUCAGGGGGCACAUAGUUGUCAUCAUCCUCUUCUUCGCCGUCUUCCAUCAUAACCCCUAUUUCUCCGUGCCUCGUCCAAACAUUAUAGUGUGGCAUGAAACCAUUGUAAAGCAGGUGGGUGUGAAGGAUUUUCCGGUCAGAGUAAGACUUCGUAUUCCCACAUUUAGGGCAUGGACAACACAUAAAACCAUUCUGCUUGUUUACCUCAGCCACUUCGAGAAAAUCAUGCACGCCCUUAAUGUACUUGGAGGUGUGUCUGUCACCGUACAUCCAUUGCCAGUUCAUCUGCGUGCAUUAUAUAUAAUUAAGUGUGUCAAAAACCAUUAUAGAACAUCAUGAAUAGAUAAUUAAGUGACCAAAUUAAUAGAAGUUUAUCGUCACAUUAAAACCAAAGUACAUACAUAGUUCUCAUCUAACAACAUAUAGCUCUCCAGAGCAUCUAAUUAAUUAAACCAUACAUUAAAACUAUGUAAAACAUUUCAAUGCGAAAACAAAUGCGAUCAUAAUCGCAACCAAGGUAACAAUUGAUCCAACAGCAUAAUGAUACCAAGCCUCGGUAUGAAUGGCAUAUUUUCUAAUCUUUCUAAUCUUCAAUCACAUUGCAUCCAUCUUGAUCUUGUGAUCAUCGACGACAUCCGCAACAUGCAACUCCAAUAUCAUCUUCUCCUCCUCAAUUUGUUUCCUUCAAGUAAUUGUUUUCUUCUUCAACUAAAUUUAACCUCUCGACAAUAGGGUUGGUUGGAAUUUCCGGUUCAACUACCUCCUACAUAAAUAAAAUCUAUGUCACGUUGGUCGGCAUAAUUGUCAUAAACAAUAAAUGAACCAAAUAGUUAUAAAAAGAUAAUAUAUAUACCACAUCCGAAUCAUAGACAGGACGAGGGCCGACAGGGGCGGAUACCAAAACCAUCGCAUUAUAUAUUAACAAGCAAUAAAAUAGUAAGAAAAUUAGACAAGUAUCUAACUAAAGUAAGAAUUUUUUCUUUCAGAAAGAAGAUAAGAACAAGAGGCUCACCACGGUGGUGCCGGUGACGAGAUCGGCGCGGGCGAUCGACGGCGGUGAAGACGGGAAUGGGACAUGACGGGCCGCUAAACCUAGACAAAUCUCGAGGAAAAUGGAGCUUUGAGGUCGAGCUUCGAGAGGAGAAGGCUUAACUAGUGUGGCUCGGGCAUUUCAUCGAACACCUCAUGUGCAUAGGAGGUGAGCUAGAGCACCACAAAGCCCCCCCCUCGCCGGCCAGAGAAAAAUAGAGCACUGGAGUGCUCUGCUCGCGGGCGAGGGGUGUAUAUAGGCACCUCAUUGGUCCCGGUUCGUGACAUGAACCGGGACUAAAGGGUAGCCUGUGGUCCCGGUUCAAGCCACCAACCGGGACCAAUGGUGGUGGGCCAGGAGCGAGGCCCAUUGGUCCCGGUUCGUCCCACCAAUCGGGAUCAAAGGGGCCAGGCGAACCAGGACCAAUGCCCCCACGAGGCCCGGCAGGCCCCUGGCCUCACGAACCGGGACCAAUGCCCUCAUGGGUCCCGGUUCUGGACUGAACCGGGACUAAUGGGCUAACCUGGCCUGAACCAAAGCCCUCUUUUCUACUAGUGAUUAUUUGAGAUUGAUUGUCAACAUGGCAUCAUCUUGCAGGAUGAUAGAAUUAAAACCAUAAAUAUUUGGUUUGUGCAAAACUACUCAAAUGAGCUAUGGGCACUGGAGCAUUACAUCGAGUUGUCAAUGGUAACACAUCCAUGAUAAGUUACAUGGUUCUGUCAAAAGGGAGAUGUGAUACUUCCGUGUAGCGAUUUUACCCAUAUCAUUCACCAUGACAAUGAGGACAAUAUGAUCAAGGAGUUGACAUGCGAGUCAAAUGAUCUCAUCAUCACUGAAUAUGACUUACCUUAUUUCCGAGAGAAAAAGGACAACGCUCGAGACAGCAGACACACUUUCUCAAAGGUCUCUAAGAAGUUAAUCCACAUUUUCUUGCUGCGUGCAUGCCUCGUUAGUCAGUAUUUAUAUCUUCUAGUGGUGUCACGUGAAAAUACCAAAGCAGUCAUUAUAGAUACAACCAAUGACCGCUCUGUUGAAAUUGAUGUCACUUAAAGUUUCAUAAAUAGUGUCAUGUGAGUAACCAGAGCAGACAUCAUAGAUGCAAAUGGAGGGAGAUGUAAUUGCAGUAUCAAAGGUUUCAGAUAGCCACUCAUGAUAAUGAAUUGUGCAAUGAUUUUGUAGGAAAAUAGAAUAAGUACAUCAAAACCAAACUAAAAUUCUUUUGUUUCCAAAGGGAUUCUAAUAGAAUGGGGGUAAAAUUUUCACUUUCAUGCUCGUAUGUCCGCCUAACCUAUGCAAUCUUUUCUAUAUAAUAAUCAAAUCUAGUCUGCAUGACUCACUUGAUUUUUGAUAAAUGAAAUACUUGGUUGCUUAAAAUACAUUGGCUGUAGAAAAGCGAGUUAUUUGUUGAUGAUGCAAAAGCAUGGAUGGUAGCUCUACGCGAUAUAUAUUUUAUGUGUGGUUUUGUGAUCUCUACUUUAUUUGUUAUGCCUAAUCCUACCUUGUAACUUCAUUCCGGUUCUUGUUCUAGCAUGGGCUCUAUUAUAAUGAGCAGGGAAAGAACGCGUUCAUAAGCAUCUUGUUCUCUUUAGACAAGAAAGAAAACGCUAUGCUCUGAACAGGUUUGAAUGCAAUUGGAAGACCUACUUAAUUCCAGACUAUUAUUUUUGUUGAUAGUUAGUUUUGAUUUUGUUUUAGUUCCAUCAACAAGCUUGAUGGUUUACUUUAAACCUUAUAUGGUUUAUUUUAACAGAAUAUAUGUUGCAAAGAGUUGGUAAUUGCAAACAAUAAGAAAAUGAGCCCACGACAUGGCGAAUCACAUGCAAAUGUUUUUGUCAUGGUUUACCGUCGAAGUCACAACACCAUAGUGGCCGCCCGACCAGAUAGAUAACACAUGCAACCUUCAAAAGCCAGCGGUCACAAGGGUAGUAUGAAUUCUAACCAGAUUGUGCAGGAAGAAGACAAAACUGUCAAGGGCUCACACUCAUCUCAUGUUAAGACUCGGCCAGCCAAGCAAAUGGACAAUUUUUAGCUUCAGCAUAGUGCAGGAAGCUUUCAGCAAAGAAUAGCAGGGUGAUACCUCCUGCGUGUAAGUUCGAGACAGCAGAAGUUCAGACUGGAACAAGAUCCAAUUUUGAUCUAGUUAAUCUAUCGUGAACUCUGAAAUUAAAUGUUCUCAUCCACCAACAACCUGCGUCGAACAAAAUCAAAGGGUUUGAAGAAUGAAGACACACCAGAAUAAGCUGCUUGGCUGACCUAACACUAAAGGAAGCCCAUCCCGCUCCAACAGACAAUGUUUGAACUUUGAACAAUAUUGAUUUGACUCCUGAGUCCUGAUUCCCCAAUGUAAGCACUAUGUAGUAGCAAAGUACUCCCUCUAUUGUAUAAUACUUGUCGUGAUUUUAGAUCAAAUUUCAACUAAAACCACGAUAAGUAUUUUGGAAUGGAGGGAGUAAGAAUUAGUAGUACACUGCAGUAAGAUCUCACAAAUUUUACAAGCAAUGCUCAGAUUGGACCUGGCUUUCUUUUCCGAUUUAAAUUUACCAGUUUAGAAAAACAAUACAUAGGUAACAGUGAGCAAUUAUGAAGCAAAUCACUCUACAUAUUAGCAACUCAAAGCAAGCCUUGGAGUGCUAACAACAUGAUAGGUAAUGCACUAGAAGAAUCUGCACGAGUUACAAUAUGGUCAGCAAAAAUAUAAGAUGCCUCAGAAAUAGAUUUAGUAGGACAACAACUUAGAAUCUUAACUAGUGAGAAGUCAAGUAGAAAAUAUUGGUCAUGGGCAGCUUAAACGAAGAUAUUAGCCAUGGAUAGCUUAAGCAAAACAAAAAUGAACAGUGGAGCUGCAUGACUAGUAAGUACUCUAGUAGUAGUAAUGAACAACUAACUUGUGUGCAUCAUUACCCAUAUCUACCUACAAACAUAUCAUUUCAGUGAAUUAUGCUAUUAUCUACCUCAUGGGAAAGGGAAAUCCUCUUCCUAUCUAAAAGGAGAAAAGGAAAGAAAAGGUAGUUUGUCUAGCUCUAUUAAGCUGCACAUAUAGAGUUAUAGAGUGAAACAACAAUGGAACACCAUGCAGAUUGUUUACCCCCUGUAAAUGCAGCGGUUAUUCUGCCAUGUUCUAUUACUAAAUUGAAAACUUUCCUAAUCAGGCGAAUGAAAGAGUAAUAGUUUCAAAUGCAGAAUAACAGCACGACAUCGAUAUUUGACAUCGAAAGAUACCAAUUUAAAGGAAAUAAAAAUAGUUUGGCAUAGAUAAGACACUUGUACGAUGUAAAUGGAAAUAAAAGGAGUUUGACAUCUCUUAGAUUCACCCAGCAUAUGGCUAACAAGGUGGCAUUAAUAAUGACCAAUUAGAGGGCACCUUACAGAUUCUCUAUGCUUAACCAGCAUUGUUCAAAGCCACAAAACGCAUUAGACGUUGAGGACACAAACCGAUAGGAAGAUCAAACUGAACUAGACAUAGAAAGCUAGGAGAUAUCCAAGGCAGUGCCACAAACCAACAAGAUUAGGCCCAUACCCAACAACUUCUUUUAAUGAAGUGCCACGCUAAGGACAUUAAGCUGAAUGCAGUACUUUCAGUGACCAUCAGAAAACAACCAUUCAGCAAAACAUGGAAUGUAAGGCAGAACACCCUGGAAUUCUUGAGAAAAAGUGCAUGUAGCAUUGACUUUCUGAUUCUCCAUAUCAUAUGACACUGCCAUCUCCUCCUCAUCGGUAAGGAAAAUCAAAUCACAAUCUGGAUGAAUCGCGAACACCUUAUAGGACAUGUCAUCUUCGCCACGUUGCCUCCCGAACAGCUCUGAAACGUUGACAGUAUACUUGAGGGUCCAGUUUCCACCACCAGAAUCUUCAAGAACCCACACAUAGAGUUGGCAAUCAUGAUCGUUAUCAAUUUGCCACGCAUACAAGCGUCCUUGGGACUGCCCAAUGGAAGCCAAAUGAUUUUUGUUUGGCAUGUCCUCUGGCAUUUCAAUCUCCCUCCAGAUCUUCCCUUCCGCGUCGACCGUGACCACUGAGGCAUAAUGUGUAGCCAAAUGCAUAGUGCCAUUCAGGAAGACACAUUCUGAAUUCCCGACCAGAAUAGUUUUGUAACCCCACUCACUCUGCACCUUGUUCCAUCGUCCGGUUUCCGACGAGUAGAUGGCCAUCUCUGUGAAUUCGCAGAAACAGUUGGUCAGGGGCACAAACACCACAAAGCGGGACGGAGCUGCUGUGUCGAAACCCAAGAAGAUAUCCAUUAUUGGUUCGAAAUACACAAUGUCACCAUCCUCUUCGUCCAGCCAUACCACAGGAGGCAACACAGUCCACUGCCCGGUCAUAGGAUUGCACACGACGUAAUCGUAUUCGUCUUCCUCAUCAUGACGCGAUUCCCAGCACUUGCAAAGGAGGAGGCUGCUGCAGCACUGCUCGACAGAAAAGCAAUCGUAGCUCUCGCGCAAGAAAUGGAGCGAAGGGUCGACUAAUGGGGGGCCUCUUCCCGACAAAUUACGGAAAUUGAAACGCCCACGCUCGAUGAAGAAGAAGCCAGACAAGGUCUGCGGCGACCUCUUGUGGACUUCCGGAUCGGAGCAGAGGGCCAGCCAUGGCUUGGAGACGCACUUGAAGCGGCAGAGCGACCUGUAGGGCACCCUCGACAGGAUCUCGACAAUGGCGCCUUCAGGAAGAUCUGUAGGGCACCCGGGCUGCUGCUGCUGCUGCUGGUUGUUACAAAUGGAUCCAAAGGCAAUUCGUUUAGGUUCAGUUUAACGUCCGCUGUAUUGGAUUGGAUUCAAGAUUGGAAGAAGGCACUGUAGGGGAGCAUACCUCAGAGUCAGACGCUUCAUCGGUGGAGGGGAAUGGCGGCGUGGCGCUGUCGCGGCCUGGGUUGCCGGUCGACGGCGAAUGAUCCUGCUCCGAGCAGCCAUGGGGAAGGCUGGCCUGCUGCUCGUGCCCAUGCUCCUUCUUCAUCUACAGAUGGUGGACACGAUUCAUACAGGUUCUUUUCUUGGAUAGAACUAGAAGAUUGGGAGAAGGAAUAGUUAAAAAAGGAGGAAACCUCUGAACCUACCUCGGUGAUGGGGAACGGCGGCGGCGAAUGGCAGGGAACGUCCUCGCCGUGGCCUGGGUGAACAGUCGCCGGAGCAUGGCCCUGCUCCGUGCAGCCUUGCUCGCCGCCUCCUCGUCUUCCUUGCGGCAUCGCCUCCUCGAUCGAGGCUAGACUGGGUGGGUCGUCCUAGGCAGGCGGCGCGGCUCGCCGAGUCUCGAGGGUUUUCAAGGACAUCGUGGCUUUAUGGCUUCGUUUCCCCCCUUGAGAAGUGGAAUGGGCGCCUCACCCAAAAAAUCGAGUAGAAAAGAAAUGAAAACGUUUUGUGCUGACCGACCACCUACAAACUGCUACAUGUUAGGCCAACUCCAACACACGACCCAUUUCGUCCGGCCACACUUCGUUUGGAUUAUCGCGGCCCAACGCGCACCCGCAAACAGACAGGCGUCCAUAUUCUGUUCGUCUGUGACCCAUUUUCAACCCGAAAUUAGUUCACGUUUGCGUCGAAACGGACAGGACACAGACGGACGGGACGCGAGCCCUUGUCUUCCCCUUGCCAGCCCAUGGGGAACACAACAUUCUCAUUUCCACCUUCUUUCCCAAAAACCCUCUCACCCACCCCCGCCCCUUCCCAGUUCCAUGGCCGGUGCCCCGCAGCAACCCACCGUUGUCCUCUUGGACGCCAUCUCCACCCGUCCCGCGAUGAAAAAGAAGCCAAAGGUGGGGCUCGACCGAGUCAUUCAAGAAUCAUCCAAGAGGAGAGGGCCGCUGUUGCGGAGAGGAAAGCCGCAGCCCAGUAUGCUCUCAAGGCCGCUGCCGCACAACACAAGGCCGCUGUUGAGGCCAACGAGUCCCUUGUCGCCAAGGCCACACAGGCAACAACGCCACACUCCCUCCUCAUGCUAGGGUUUAGCCGACCCGCGCCGGCCACAUGCUCAUCAGCCGUUCGCCCUCCUCAUGCUAGGGUUUAGCCGACCCGCACCGGCCACAUGCUCAUCGGCCGUUCGCCCUCCACAGGGCCAGUCAAUGAGCUCCUCCUCAACACCACAAACGGGUGGCAUUUAUCUGGCACGAGCAUGGUGCAAACCGCUUCUCCAUGUCGCGGGACGGCAACAUGAUCGCCCCGUGCCGCCGACCGUCAUCGACCUCAAUGUCACGUGCUGGGUUGGGUGUCGCCGGUCAGUAAGCCAUCGGGAUGCAAAGCUAGCGGCCACAGGCGAUUGCUAUGGCCAACCUUCGCAACGACCGCAUCCUGUUCGACGGAUCACCCUACCGUCGCCGGGCAAGACGGCCCCAACUUCAACGCUUUCAUGGAGAAUGUCAUCUACGAGGGCCAUGGCCAAGCCUUCCACACCAAGGGCCAAGGCCAAGGCUUCGAUCCCGACAAGACCCAAAAGCGAAGACAGGCGUGACCAACAUGAAAAGGCCGACGACAUUGGCCAUGGCAACCAAGAUGAAGAGGCUGACAGCAUUGGCUGCGGCAACCAAGAUGAAGAGGCCGACAGUCAUAGCAACUCAUUGGCCAUGGCAACCAUGCAAAUGCAUACACAUUUUUUUUAACAUCAGUACAGACGCAAACGCUCAUACAUACACGCAUACACUCACCCCUAUGAACGCAAACAUACACACCCUACCUCUAUGAGCACCUCCGAGAGACUGAGGCGGCAUGUCAUCUUAAAAUUUACGAAGUCACCGUAGGCGCCUCGUCGUCGACGGGAAUGUCUCCUCCCACUGAAAGCACAUCACCAGAAAUCCUUAAAUAAAUCCAAGAAUAAUGCCACCACCAGACUUGAACCCUGGUGGGCUGGGGAUACCACAGUCCCUCUAACCAUCCAACCACAUGUUGGUUCGCGUAUACGCAUUUUUAAUUGGUUGUUCGUUCGUCAUGUAGGGUAAUCCAAUUUUUUACCCUGCAAAAACAAAUCCAUUUUUUAGUGGUCUUUACAUUUUCUAGUGGUGCCCUGUGAAAUACUACAACAAUCAUCAUAGAUGCAACCAACGACUGCUACUCUGCCUGAAUUGGUGCCACUUUUAAUGUUUCAUAAAUAGUGCCAUGUGAAAAACCGGACGUCCGAAAAAACCAUAGCAGUCAUUGAUCAUAGGUGCAGAUGCACGGAGACGUAAGCAUUAUUAGAGGUUUCACAUAGAUACUCAUGGUAAGGGCGUCUACUCCCUCCGUUCCAAAUUACUCGUCAUAGAAAUGGAUGUAUUUAGAACUAAAAUACAUCUAAAUAUAUCCAUAUGUAUGACAAGUAAUUCGGAACGGAGGGAGUACAAUGCAGACGCUAAGGACGGACGCCAGGUUCCGAAUCCUACUCGAUUUCAGCGAUUCCCGUCCAAUCCCAGGAAAACCGUUGGCGUCGAUGCCAUAUCAUUUGCCGGGUGCUCCAGCCCUUUUUUCAUACAGAUUAAACUGGUCCGAAGGCGGGCGCUUAUAACUAUUGGCGUUGUACACAAAGGCUCCAAGGCAGACGGCAGGUUUAAAAUUCCUUUUUUUUAUUUUCCUCAAGCACUUUGGAAGUGCCUUGCGUUGGAGAUGCCCUAAUGAAAUUGUGCGAUUAUUUUGUAGGAAAAGAGUAAAAGUACAUCAGAACCAAACUAAAAUUCCUUUCUUUCUGUUGGGGCAAAAUAAGCCAUGCUCUGCCGAGCUGACCGAGGUAGGGCGCGCCGGGUCUGGUCCGGCAAAGGUGUGGGCGUGUGCGUGUGUGUGAGUUCAGUUAUAACAAAUACAAGGCGUUGGAGCGCCGGUGCAUUCGUUGCACACAAAACAAACUCGAGUCUCCUGUCCAUCGUCUACCUUUGAGCGAGAGUAACCAGACAGAGAGAGAGCCACCCAUCACUUGGUAUACAGAGCUUUGUUGUGAUCCUACCCGCAGCGAUAUCGCUCGCCCCGUACGCAGGCGGAUCGGGGAGCUCGCUGCCUAUGUCCGUCCCCAUGCUCACUGGUGACAACUACACCACGUGGGCGAUCAAGGUGGAAGCCAACCUCGACGCGGCCGGGCUGUGGGAGGCGGUCGUUCCGGCGGAGGAUGCAGCAGCUGCGGUCAUCGCGAAGAACAAAACAAACUCGAGUCUCCUGUCCAUCGUCUACCUUUGAGCGAGAGUAACCAGACAGAGAGAGAGCCACCCAUCACUUUCCAACGGGAUUCUAACGGAACGGGGGUAAAAGUUUAUCUUCCAUUCUUGUAUGUCCGCCAACACCUAUGCAAUCUAGUGUGUAUAAUAAUCAAAUCUACUCUGCAUGACUCGCUAGAUUUUUGAUAAAUGAAUUUUUGGCUGCUUGUAGAAAGUGUCUUCCUUGUUUGCUGAUGAUGCAGCAACAUGGAUGGUAGCUGUACGCGAUAUCUAUUUUAUGUGUGGUUCUGGGGUCUCUACUUUAUUUGUUAUGCCUAAUCCUGCCCUUCUUUUUGCAGGAAUAAUACUUGUAUUACUCAAUUAUCAGGUCCUUACAAUCCUCUUGGACAAACUUCAAAACAUCCUCAGGGCCCGAACCAACCCACGUAAUUGUUUGACCCUCUACUCUAGCAAAACUAGCUUGUUACUUCAUGCCAAUUCUUAUUCUACAAUAGGCUCUAUUAUAAUGAGAAGGGGAAGAAUGGGUUCACAAACAUCUUGUUAUGUUUAGACAAAAAAAAAACACUGUUCUGAACUUGUUAUAAUGUAACUGGAAGACCUACUUAUGUGGGGUUCGACCUGGUAACGGAAAUCGUAGCCUGCAAUCCUCUGAUUGGUGAAAGAUUUUACCAAGCACAUAUGAACGAUUAAACCUGAUACUGUUUCCACUCAUCCUCUUGUUUCAGUUUCGGGUUAUUAUUUUUGUUGGCAGUUAGUUUCAGUUUUGUUUUUGUUCCAUUUGUCCUGCCUGUACCAGCACAAUGGUUUACUUUAAACCUUGUAUGGUUUGUUUUAACAGAAUAUAUGCUGCAAAUAGCUGUUACGUGCAAACAAUAAGAAAAGGAGUCUGCGGCAUGGGGAAUCACAUGCAAAUGUUUUCGUAGUCAGUCUUGCUAAAUCUCAGUCGACUAAUGUUUGCUGUCAAUGGCACAACACCACAGUGGACGCCCGACCAGAUAGAUAGUACAUGCAACAAGUAGCUAGCAGCCUAAGUUGAACCCUCAACCUACAAAAGACAGCGGCCACAAGAUCACACUAUGGAGCUUUUUCAACUGAGACUUGAUUAUUUAUAAGGAACAAGGUAGCAUGAAUUCUAACCAGACUGUGCCGGAAGACAAAACUGUCACAGGCGGUCACACUCACCUCAUGUGAAGACUUGGCCAGCCAAGCAAAUGGACUAUUUUCCGUUGUAGCAAAAUGCAGCCAGCUUUCAGACGGGAACACGAUUUGAUCUAGUUAAUAGCUCCUAAACUGAAUGUCCUCAUCCGCCAACAACUUGCAUCGAACAAAAUACAAGGGUUUGACGAAUGAAGACACACCAGAAUAGGCUGCUUGGCUCAGCUAACCCGAAAGGGAGCUUAUCCCACUCAAGAAGACAAUGUUUGAACUUUGAACAAUAUUGAUUUGACUGCUGAAUCCUGAUUCAAUAUAAGUACUAUGUAGAAAAGUAACAAUCGGUAGUACACUGCAGUAAGAUCUCGCAAAUUUUACAAGUAAUGCUCCGAUUGGACUUGGCUUUCUUCUCCGAUUCAAAUUUACCAGUCUAAAAAAGGAAGAAUUUGUCAAUACUGGACCGGAAUGGUUACUGGAUCUUCUAGCACGAAUUAAAGAGGGAAAGAAAGAAUGUGAUCAUGACAAUCUGGAGGAACUGGCAACAAAGGAAUGAUCAAGUGCAUAAUAAACCGGUGCCACCAGUGCACGUAACGAAGAGUUUCUUGGUUAGCUACAAUAAUUCGCUUAUCCCAAAUUAAACGCAAAGAUGGACAGGAUCCUAUCAAGGGGAAAGGACUUGCAGAUGAAUAUUGUGUGCAGCGUGAACACAAGCUUAGGGCGACGGCCCAUGCCCCAUGGCCACCGCUAGCAGAAGGAAAACUGGCGAUCUCAGUGGAUGGAGCCUACCAUGUCCAGAACAAAGAUGCAGGCGUAGGCAUGAUUAUUAGAGACUCGGUUGGUGACUUGGUUCUUGCAUUCUACAAGUAUGUGGCUAGGUGUGAAGAUCCCUUUGAAGCAGGACUGUUGGCAGACAGGGAAGGGAUUCAGGCAGCGACCACCUAUGCAACAGGGCCGUUUGUCCUUCAAACUGACUGUUGGAAUCUGAUUAAGAUGCCGAAGAACCCGAGCCAAGACAAGUCAGGAAUAGGCCAUCUGGUUAGAGAGGUGAAGAAGUUGUUCGUGGAAGAAAGGAGGCCAUCUAGUUAGAGAGGUGAAGAAGUUGUUCGUGGUAGAAAGGGAGCUGAUCAUCAUGAAAUUAGAUAGAAGCCAGAAUAGAGUUGCAGAUUUCAUAGCUAAAUUUUCGCGCUCAGAGCAUCGUACCGACCUGUAGUUACAAGAUGCCCCUGAGAAUCUCAAAAGCCUUUUGGCUAUGGAUUGUAAACCUAUUCACUAAUCAGUAAGCUCCCAAUUUUGUCGCAAAAAAUAUAUAAUUACAAAGCAAAUCACUCUGUGAAUUAGCAAUUCAAUGCAAGCCUUGGAGUGCUAACAAGAUGAUAGGUAAAGGACGAGAAGAAUCUGUAAGUUAUGUCAGCAAACAUAUAAGAUGCAUCAGAAAUAGAUUUAGUAGGACAACUUAGAAUCUUAUAACAGACUAAUGAGAAGUCAAGCAGAAAAAUAUUGGUCAUGGGCAGCUUAAACGAAUAUAUCAGCCACGGAUAGCUUAACAACAACAACAACAACAACAAAGCCUUUAGUGCCAAACAAGUUGGGGUAGGCUAGAGGUGAAACCCAUAAGAUCUCGCAACCAACUCAUGGCUCUGGCACAUGGAUAGCAAGCUUCCACGCACCCCUGUCCAUAGCUAUCUCUUUGGUGAUACUCCAAUCCUUCAGGUCUCUCUUAACGGACUCCUCCCAUGUCAAAUUCGGUCUACCACGGAUAGCUUAAUCAAAACAAAAAUUAACAUUGGAGCGGCAUGACUAGCAAGUACUCUAGUAGUAGUAAUGAACGGCUAACUUGUGUGCAUCAUUACCCCUGUCUUACCUACAAACAUAUCAUUUCAGUGAAUUAUGCACACACACUGGUCUGCAUGAAUCAAUCCACGGAAUAUUUUGGAAGGGGAGUUCUCCCAUAAAAAAAAGAAAUGAUAAUUUGUCUAGCUCUAUUAAACUGCAUAUAUAUAGACUGAAACAACAAUGGAACAUCAUGCAGUUUUAUUUACCCUCUGUACAUGCAGCUGUUACUCUGCCAUUUUCUGUUACUAAAUUGAAACCUUCCAAAUCAGGUGAAUGAGAAAGUAAUAGUUUCAAAUGCAGAAGAACAGCACGACAUCAAUAUUUGACAUCAAAAGAUAACCAAUUUCAUACUAGAAACUCGUAUGAUGUAAAUGGAAAUAAAAAGAGUUUGACAUCUCUUAGAUUCACCCCGCAUAGGAGCUAACAAGGUGACAUCAAUAAGACAAUAAUGACCAAUUAAGGGUCCCUUGCAGAUUCUCUAUGCUUAACCAGCACUGUUCAAAGCCACAAAACCCGUUAGAAGUUCAGGGCACAAAGAGAUGGGAAGAUCAAACUGAAGCAGACAUAGACGCUAGGACACAUCCAAUCCAGUGCCACAAAACAAGAAGAUUAGGCCAUGUCCAAUACCCAAUAACCGCUUUUUAUGAAGUGCCACGCUAAGUACACUAAGCCGCAUGUAG